rnacentral:lncRNA from 1 species
GAAAACAUAUCUAGAUCCGGAUCUUCUUCUUGUUAAUGUUUGCUGGAGAGACGGAGGAGGCAGAUCGUGGAUUGGAGAUGGAAAAUGGUGGCUGGAGGUUGGAGAGUUGGAGUGUUUUGGAGCGGAUCUGGCAAUUGAGAUCGGAGAUCUCGGACCGGUGGAGGGAUGAUUGAGUGUGGAGAGAAGGGAACAGAGGUGGGAGAGGGAGGAUUCAGCGUGGUGGAGGGAAGAGAGUUGGGAGAGGAGGUCAGUGUGGCAGAGCCGGAGGCAAGGGUGGCGGAGGAGAAGCAGUGGAGUCGAAGUCUGGUGAGAGGAAUACUGAGAAAAUUGGGUCGUAGGUGAAGGAGUCGAGGAGUGAUGAGCGAGAGGAGGAGGAGCGUAGGGAUGCAGUGGCGUUGGGAGUGUGAGCUGUCGUAGCUAUUGCGAUGGUGGGGUGGUUUUAUCUUUGAAAGUGGGUCGUUCUCUCCUCCUUCAGCCUCUUCCAUUAUUACCCAAUUGAAGGUACAAAUUUCAUUCCUUUUGAAUUUUUCCUAAAAAUUAGGUUUUUGGUAGAAAUUGACUAGUUAGGAUCAAGUGUACUUGCCCACUAUACCUAAAGUGCUCAAAUUUACCAAUUUCUGCAAUAACUUUUUUUGAUUCCUUUGUUAGUUCUUUGCUCCUUCCUAUGUAUCCUCUGCCUCAGAACCACUUGGUUUUUAGGUAUUAAUAGGAAUAUCAUAUAAGGCAUUUGAAGUAUUUAUAUACGUGGUCAAGCUUCAUAUUAUAAUGUUUUUCAUUUUAUAUGCCAAACAAAAAACAGAAGCAUCAUAUUCUGCAAUCACAUUAAUAAUCUGCAGUUUGUGGAUAUUUCUAGAUAGUCGAAUAAUAAGAGAAAUAGUUAUUGCACAUGUAACUUUAUAUCACUCGAAAGCUUUCUCAAGAGACAAGAUUACUCUUUAAAUUUUAUGUGAAUUUGUACUUUUAUGCNNNNNNNNNNNNNNNNNNNNNNNNNNNNNNNNNNNNNNNNNNNNNNNNNNNNNNNNNNNNNNNNNNNNNNNNNNNNNNNNNNNNNNNNNNNNNNNNNNNNUUUUUGGUUUUAUGAAAACACGUAAGCCUUGCUAUUUGUUAUUAUGAACAAUUUAGUGUUUACAGAUCAGAAGCAGCAAACUAAAUUUGGGGGUGCUUAGGGCUAUUACAAAUUGCAACUUAUAUUAUGACAUGCAGUUGUGUGUACCUAACUGAUCAAAAUUGCGACAUGUAAAAACUGGCUUAUCCUUUUUAAUAUAUGAUACUCACACAAACUUUUUACUUGGUAAUUGUUUUUCCAUUUCAGCUAGUGAUCAAGUGAACUAAUUAAUUGGUUCAUCGAACACUUGUAUAAGAUUAUGUUGCUCAACUUCUUGCUCUUCAUUUUCCUUUUGAUGUCCUUUAUAUCCACCGAAUGAUGCACGUGUCAUUAUUGUGGUGGUGGUGUUCUUAUAUUGUGCUAAAUACACCCAACUGUGCCACCAUAAUGAGCACUUUUUGAUGUCUCAAGUAUAUUUUUAAAAUUAAUCGAAAAGUAUGAUUACUUUGUAACUCACAAGGAUGUAAGAAGCCACAUCAACUGGUGCACAAGAUGUACAAGUGAAGUAUACAUAACUCUAUUGUUAUUAACGUUCUUCCCAUGAAUAUUCAUUGUAGGAUAGAUAACAAAAAUGAGCAACAAAGGCUAGAAACUCAACUCCUUCUCAAACUGUUGCAGAGGCCACUUGUCAAAUGCUAGCUAAGAAGGUAUGAUAUUGGCCACUGGUCGAUUUUGUAAUAUUUAAGUUUUUCUUUUUGUACUACUCCAUCAUUUACCAAUUAAUACAUCAUAUAUGAUUUAUGAUUUCAAACAGUAUUAAAAUUUUAGGGGCAGACGUAUACUUUUAUAAUUAAAAUUUUAAAAUAUAAUAAUAAAAUUCAUUAAAUAUAAAUUUCAAUUAAAAAUGCAUAAAAGUCGGGUUUAUUUUUGAAAUUAUUUUAUAGUCGCCUUAUUUUCAGUGCUAUCAAAUAGAUCUCUUUCUGUGAAGAAAUAGUUUCACUAGGUUGUUCUUGGACGGGGACAUGACUAAUGGACUCUUGAGUAGAUUUAAUAGGAAAAAAGAUUCGGAUCAAGCACGUUUAGUAGUGUUUCCUCUUAACUUACUUAAUUAUUUUAUUUUCCCAUCUUUAUUUGAAAAUUGUUUUAUUUUACAGGGGAUGAAACUGAUUCUAGUUUCAGAUUGUUAUCUUGGGUAUGAACAAGAAUACUCGGUCAAAAAAAUUAUUGAAUCUCAGCAACAUGGAGCCAAAAAUUAGUUCAAGAAUACUGAGUGUUAUUGGAAUUUUCCUUCUUGGCAUGUUGCAAUCCAUGCAGGCCCUAAUGAACCCCAAAGGCCCCUGUAACGUUGAUGGGCUACUAACAAUUUAUCUUUUAUUUAUCUUAUUCUUCAUCUCCUCUCCUUUGCCCUUAGUUUUGCUUUAAAGGACUUUUGGCAAUUAUUAUGGUACUAUUAUCGUUAUUGUAAGUCUGUGCAUACAUGGUUGUUAUGGGGUGAUUGAGCCACGAUUUAUUUUGUUUGUAAAAUAAUUGACAUUUGUUAUAUAACAGGUUUGUCAAUAAUGGAUUUCGCAACGAUACAAUCAAAAUCUAUUUCAUUACCAAAGCAAUAUAUAGUAAAGGAUCUAGCAACAAUAUUUUCUAAUUUUAGCAAUAAGUUUUCGUUGGUAAUGACAUUAAAAUAAAAAUUUUGGGCAACAAAAAUUUAGCCUAAUUACAACGCAAAAGAAAAAUGUAACAUUUAUAUUGUUGUAAAUCAUACUAACUUUGAUAAAGCAAAUGACAACAUAUAAUGUCGUCGUUAAUCGACAACAGCUUUCGUUGCUUUUGAAAAAUAAUCAACAUUGAACAAUAUUGCAAAUUAAUAUAUGACUGGUUUGUUAGGCACAUUUAGCAACGACCAUCGUUGCGUAUACAAUCAGAAACGGAAACCAGUUAAGGCAACUAUUUUAAUACUGUUCAGCAAUGUUAAAUAUUGUUGGCAACUAUGUAUCAAACGCAACAAAUUUCAUUUUCAUUUUUUGUUCCCAAUUAGGCCGAUUUUGCAAUGAAAAUUUCUUUUCAGUUACAAUUUCUUAAUAAAUUUGCUACAAAAUAUUUCGUUGCUAAAUGGUCUAUGAUUUUACACGAAAAUAAACUUUCGUUGCGAAAUAUAUCACUUUCUGCAACGAAGAAUAAAGUUCGUUGCUAGACAAUUAGCAACGCUCAUUGCGUAACGAAUGUUCCAACGACCAAAAAAUCGUUGCAAAUGACCUUUAGCAACGAAAUUUCGCACUUUUAGCAACGAAAACAGUUUGUUACAAAAUUACCAUUUUUUGUAGUGUUCAAAUUUGAUUUUUUUCUUAGUCAUUUGCGAAAUCCUAAAAUUCAAAAUUUAGGUAAAUUUAUUUGAUUUAUGUUGGUUUAUAUGUUUAUGUUUUAAUGAUGAUAAUAUGUUUUGUAUGCAGUUAAUAUUUUGCAUGCAAAUAAUAAAUAUGCUUUGCAUGGAAAGAAUAUAUUUUGCAUGAGAAUAAUAUUUUGUACAUGAAAAUAAUAUGCUUUGCACUGAGAUAAUAUACUUUGCAUGGCAAAAUUAUUCUUUGCAUGGAAAUAUUAUAUUUUGCAUGGAGUGAUUUUUUAGCAGGUUUGGACUUAAAGGAAGAACUAUUCAUAUAUGGUGAAGAGAUUUAAUGGAGGACAAACAGUGGUUCAAGUCCAACACAUUUAGGAAAAUAUGUAAGGUUUUCUAGCUCGAAAAGAAUUAUUUCAAGGCAUUAUUUAAUUGCUGGAAAACUUGUUUUAAAAGAAUUUGAUAUGAGCUAAAUUGUUAUUAUUUAGGAAACUGAAUAUGUCAACAAAUUGAAUCAAAAUUAUUGGGACUCUAUUGACAUAAUCUUAUCAAAUAUAUUUUCUAAUUCUCUUUCUUUCAAUUAAGCUUUUUCAAAUUGCUUUAUUUUGAAAAUCAAAAUAUUUGAAAAUCUAUUUUAGAAGGUUGUUUAGUCAUAUCCAUUGAACUUGAUCUUUAUGUAGAAAAUAUGUUUUAUUCUAUCCAAGAUAUGGGUAAAUCAUAUUAACAAUAUGUUGGGUAUUGCAUAUUUAAAUUUGAUGUUGAAAGUAAAUAAUCAUGCUUAUAUGUAAAGUCCUUCAAAGAACAUAUGUACAAGGACUUAGAUGAUAGAUCAAAAUUGUUAGGUUGAUCUGUGCUUUACGUUUAUCAUUCUGUAAAUGAAUGUAUAGAAGAAAAGAUCAAGGCUGUUAGGAUGAUCUAUUUUUGAGAUGUAAUAGAUAGGCAUCAACAGAAUCGUAGUCUGUCGAGUCAGCCGAGAAAUUGCAGAAGCCAAGGAAGAAUAGUAGAGUAUCGAGAAUCAUAUUCUGUCUACUUUGGAGGGCCUCUCCUAGUAUCGUAGAGUGAUCCAAACGCUUGCCGAGCAAAAUCAAGAAUCGUAGUCUGUUCUCGGAAGCGUAGAGUCUGAAAAUCAAGCAAGCAAAAAUCGUAGUCUACCAGUGCUUAAGAGAAAUCGUAGUGUUCUCAUCUAUAAGUCCGUAUCAAGCACGAAUGUGACAAGACACCACGAUCAUGAUCGUAGUGCAUCAUCUGUCUACAUCAGAAACAUCGAGCUUUGUCCAUUUGUUAAAGAAUAAAUUACAACAAAUGUUGAAUGGAUUAUAGACGUUGAGACUCUCGGGAAUCCCAAUGACCCAACACUCAUCCUUAGUAUAUAACAAAGAAAUGUAUUGAAGAAACUAAGGAAAGUAAUGCAUGUCAGCUGAAAACACCUUUUCAGGUGUUAGGUGAGAUAGCAGUUGUAACGACCGAGAAAUUCAGAUUUUAUUGUAAAAUAAUUUUAUUGAAUUAAAUAAUAAAUAAAAUUAUAUUCUAUGUGUUAUCAAGAUGGUUGUCAUUGUAUAACCUAUUGAUGUGGGAAUGUCGUAGUAUUUUAGCUACGUGAAAGAAUUAAAGUGUUUGAAUUUCCAAGACGAAAAUAAAAGUUUUCCGAGAAAUUUUCCAAAAAACACUAUUCAUCGGUAUUUGCUCGGGAUUUAUUUUUGAAUUUCGGAGAAAUACGUAAUGAUAGAAUGUCAAGGUAAGAUGGAUUAUGUAAUAAUAAUCAAAGUAUGAAAAAUGCAAUAUUUCGCUUGCGGACUUAAAUUGAGAACGUUAAGGAAAGAGAAGUAUUAAUGAGUUAAGUGAUAAUCGUAUGAUACGUGAGUAUUGUACGAAGUAAUGAAUACGAGUAUAAUACGAAGUAUUAUACGAGUUUGUAUGAAUGAUGGAAUAUCGUAUAUAAUGAAUUUCUAUAUGAUUUAGAAUACGAGAAUGAUACAUAGACAACGUGUUGGAGAGAAUAAGCAAGAAUAAGCUACUUCCAUUUGUAAGAAAAAGAAGAAGACUUUUCCACAAGAACUUCAAAGGGUAAGACUUCUUCUUCAUUUAUCUUCUAUCUCUACCAUGAUAAGUUGAUAAGAAAAGUAUGGAUUAAGGAACAUGGAUGUUAAGAAGUAAGAAAAAUGAUUAAUCAAUGGACUUAAGUUGCAUAAGUCGGAUAUAAGUCAUUUAAACUUGCAUAAGUUAUAAACUUAUGAAGAAGUUAUAUGAACUUAAUAUGAGUUUAUCUUAAGAAGUAGUAUGAAAGUAAAGAAUUUGUAUGAAUAUGUAUCAUGUAUACAUGAAUGAAACUAUGUAUUGAGAACAUAUAAAGAUGAUGAUUAAAAGACUUUAAUUAUCAUAAGUUAUGAACAAUGAAGCUAUAAGUAGUUUAUACUUUAAUAAGUUAUAAGGUCAUGUAAGAAUAAGUCAAAAUCCAACAUAAAACUAAAUUGUUGUAUUAAGUAUGUUGAGAUGUUCAUAUGGUGAAUUGAAUUCAUUUGAAGUAAUGAACAAAUCAUAAGUAAUGAAGAUUUGCCGGAAAUUGCACGAUUGGACGAUAAUCGUCGAAUUCGUGAGAUUCUCGGAAUAGAAGUCAAAUUUUGUGUUUGAACUCGGAAACAUUGGUUUUCGAUGGAGACAAGUCAUAUUUGGCAUUAUAGAUUUGUGGACUCGAAAAUGACCGAAUUCCGACUUAGAACGAAGAAACGAGCGUUGAACGUUCACGAACGUUUAUCGUUUUCAUUAAAAAUGAACUAAUAGGUGAAUUUUUAGCAAACGAAGUCAAAUAGAUAAAAUUCUUGCAUGAACGCGUAGAGUAUGUAAUUUAUGAACCGUAGGCUUUUGAAUGAGCCAAUUCGGACUUAUAACGAAGAAGUUGUGAGCCCGGGAAGUUCGCAAAAUUGACAAACUAUCAAAAUAAUCUGGUGCACAGAGCUGGCGCCGCGGCGCCAGCCCAAGAGUAAUUCAUCGCGCCGCAGCGCCGUGAAUAGUCUAUGACCUACUGAAGAGUGGUGCUGCAAUGCGGACCACUGAGUAAGGACUCGCGCCGCAGCGCCAAGUCUGGGACGUUGCUACUGCUAACUCGCGCCGCAGCGCGAGAUGUAAGCCUAUGACUGGCGCUGCAGCGCCAGUCCUUGAUCAAAGAUAAUAAAGAAUAAUUAUGAGCACAAAGCAAGGAAUGAGAUUAACUCAAAGUGAACCUACCUUAAGGAACUUGAAGUAACAUUGUUAAAACUUUGUUAAACCGUAAGGAUAGUACGUAAAAGUUGAUGAUAACCUAUUCUAAUAUAAAUGUAAGUAGAAAGACAAGCCAGAAUUGAUAGUAAAUAAAUCUAAUACAUGAUUAGAUUGAGAUGAAGGGUAAGAUAUAGUCAUAUACAUACUUGAUUAUAUAUGACCUAAUGUGAGGCGUUAUGUGAUCAUGUAUUGUAGAGACUUGAAAGACUCGAAUAUAAAGUAAUUAUACAGUAGCAGACGCUGAAGGCAAGUAUUCUAACCCUUGUCUCAGUUCAAUCUGAACAAGUUUUGUAAUUCAUGAAUCCUUACGCAUGAAUUGGUGUAUGAUCAAGUUAAAGCCAAUUCUUUCGGCUAGACUUAAUGCAUUUGAUGGAUUGUUGAUAAUCUGUCCAACUGUUAUUAAAUGUUGUUAUCUUUUGUCAACUACUUGAUAUGGUUUUCAAAAGAAGACUGAGUAUGAUAAACAAAUGUUUUGUCGUCAUACGACAAGCACGUGAGGUUGCCACAAAUUAAACGUACAUACGCUUAAUGAAUGUAGUGUUGAUCAACAUAGAGUACUAUAGGCUGAUCACCUAGAAGUGCUCAUAAGUAAUACCGGACUUACAGACUUAGUGCCUGGUUGUCCUUUUCAAAGAAAGAAUGAAAUACUCAAGGUCUUGGACCGGAGUUUAUGUUUUACUGGAUAUUAUUCAUUGUGAAACAUUUUGAAAGAAAGAUGAAGUGCUAUUUUGAAUUAUCAAUAGUACUUCAUAACUAUUGUUCAGUUAUUGAAGAUAUACGAUUCUUAUGUGUCAAGCAUGUUGUUAUUGAAAUUGUCAUACUUGCUGAGCUAGUUAUGCUCACUCUUGCUUGAACCAUAUGAAUGCAGCUAAGACUGAACGUCCCGAAGGAUCGAAUAAGGAUAAAGGAAAGGCUAAGGCAGAUCGUUAAUCGGUCUAUGUAAUAGUGUAGGUUUAUUGUUGUAUUGUAUUUGAUAUUAUAACAAAGAACCUUUGUAAUGGGUAUAGAGACUGGGAAAUGUAAAUAUCACUUUGAAUAUAUAGAAGUCAUGUUCGUUCUUUUGAGGUUUUUCAAUUGAAUGAAUGUAUGAAUGGUAGUACCGUGUAGCACCAUAUGUCGGGUUGGAAGAUACCCGGAUUUGGGGGCGUCACAGGUUGGUAUCAAAGCCUAGGUUAUAAAACUUAAGGGGGAAAUUAGAACCUUAAGUCAUAACCUUAAGAAGAGAUAAAGAAGUAAAAGAUGAAAAGUAACCCUAUAAAAAUGCAUUAUAAUUAUGUUAUUUGUUUUUAUUAUUCUACUGACAUGUACUAAUCAAACUAUAUUGUUUUGUUGUAGAUGUCAGGAGAAAAUGAAAUGUAUAGAGAUAUACAUUUUGUUAGCGAGGAUUCGGUGAAUCGAGUAGAGAUACUACCAAAUCCCAUGGCAAUAGAACCAGAAGUGGUGGCAAUCGAGUCUAGAGACUCGGAUAACUUAGACUACAUGUCUGUGUUUGAUGGCAUGUUAGAGGAAGAGGUAGAUGUGAUGUCUUUUGAUCAUAUAACACCUACAAAAGAGUUGACUACGGGGGAGUCAAUGAAGGCAUUAUUUAUGUCAGUAUUGGAUAGAAACGUCCAAUAUUGUAAGGAGGUUAAGGAGUUAAAAGAGGAACUCCAAGCUGUCCGGGAGGACAAGACUAGUAUGGAAGGUAUAUGGGAAGAGGAGCAUGAUGAUCGAAUUUUAGCUAAGAACAAGGUCCACGAGCUGAAAUGCAAAGUCUUUGAGCUCAAGCAGUAGCUAAAGACUAAGAAACAAAAGGUAGAGAGGAUGUCCUAUAUACAUAGGAGUUCUCAUAUAGAUUUCCAGCAGCAAGUAGCUGGGUAUCCGAUAGAAGAAGGGCAGACCCGACAUACUAUCAGUCGAGAUGUUAUUGCCAGUCUGGCCAAGAUAGAUUUUGAGAGUGCCAUACGGCAGAUGUAAUCUAGCAAUAACUAGAAUAGUUUAGAUAUGUAAAUAUUAUGUAUCUAGUAGUGACGUAAAACCCUCUUUUGUAUAUCAAAGGGUAGUCUUUUGUAAAUCCCAAUUUUUGGAAAGCAACUGCGGGAUAGUAAUGUAAUCAGCUUAGGCUGUACAAUGUAAGUAAUGUAGUUUUAUACUACAAGUAAUGAAUCAAUAUAAGUCUUUUUAUGGGAUAUAUUGAGUAAUGAGUAUGAGUUAUUAUUUCAUUAUAAAUAAUAAUUAACUAACAAGAAGAAAGUAAUAAUGAUGUGUUGUUUUCUUAACAGCAAAAUGCCGCCAAGAAGAAGACAACGAAAUCAAGAUCCUAAUGUUAAUCAACCGGAGGGAGGUCUGGUUAAUCCAAUGCAAGAGUUCGUUAAUAUUUUAACGGCCGCAUUUAAUAGAACUGGGACUAAUGUACCCAUAAAUCCUGGAGUAGUACGAGCUACUACUUUUAAGGAUUUCAAAAGUGUCGGUCCGCCAGAGUUCAAAGGAACUACGGACUCUAUAGAAGCCUAAACUUGGGUGAAAGAGAUCAAGAAAUCAUUUGUAAUAGAAAAUGUUGAUGAAGGCCAGAAGGUUGCCUUUGCAACCUAUUUAAUGAAGGGUGAAGCCAAUUUCUGGUGGGAGGCAAACCAGGCUAGGGCCGGUAUAGAAAAUCUAAUGUGGGUGAGGUUCAAGGAGAUUUUCUUCGAGAACUAUUUUCCCACAAGCAUGCAGGGAAGAAUGGAGAUGCGGUUUCUUGAUUUAAAGCAAGGGGAUAUGACGGUUCCCCAGUAUGCUGCCAAGUUUAACGAAUUGGCAAGGUUUGCUCCACAUCAAAUGGACACGGAGGUACGAAAGGCUAGACGAUUUGAGCAAGGCUUGAAACCCUAGCUCUAUAGCCGAAUUUCAGUGUUCCAAAGUACUUCUUUUGGAACCAUACUAGAAAAAGGCAAUAAUUUUUGAGGGUGAGAAUGAGGCUCUUAGCCAGUACCACAAAGAUAAGUAAAAUAAAGGUAGAGUUGAUGGAGGAAUAAAGACCGAGGGAGCCAGCGGUAGUGGCGACGGUCAAAAGAAGAAGGGAUUUAACUCUGGGAAUACUGGAGUAAAACCAGGGGAUCCUAAGAGGAGGAUGGAGGCCUGUAAAACCUAUUGGAAGACUCACUUAGGAGUCUGUCUCAAGGGGAAGAUAGUAUGUUACAACUGUGGAUAGGAAGGGCACAUUUCACCUAACUGUCCAUGUCCAAAGAAAAAUCAUGGAUGCUUUGUAUGUGGAUCAACUGACCACAUAGCAAAGAACUGCCCAAAGAAGGGGAUGGAUGGGAAUAAGGGCACUAAUUGCAGUAAGUUAACUAUUGGUGGUCCAGCGCAGCCGGGUAGGCCAAUGGCCCGCACCUUUAAUAUGACGGUCCAAGAUGCGGUGGCAUUAGGGGAUGUAGUUGCAGGUAUUAUUCCAAUCAACAACAUAAAUGCUUACGUACUAUUUGAGUCGGGUGCUACUUGUUCGUUUAUAGCUUAUGAUUUUGCUAGACGAUUAGAAUUAUUUCUCAAAAAGUUGCCUAUACCUUUGAUAAUUAAGGUAGCAAACGAAGAGAUAAUUCCUGUUGAAGAUAUUCAUAGGAGUUGUUGCAUAGAUAUACGUGAUUGUAAGUUAUCAGUAGAUUUGAUACCGAUAAAGUUAGGAGAAUUCGACGUUAUUCUUGGAAUGGAUUGGUUGAUUAACCAUGGUGCAAUUAUAGAUUGCCAAAAGAAAUGUGUGAGCAUUAGGACGUUGAGACAACCUCCUGUAAUAUUUUAUGGUAAUAAAUCACCGGGACGUUCGUGUUGUCUUACGAUGACACAAACUAGAAAACUUUUAAGGAAGGGGUGUGUAGGUUAUUUGUGUCAUGUUGUCGAUACCCAGCGAGUGGGAGCGGCCAUGGAACAAAUACCUAUAGUAAAUAAAUUCAUGGAUGUAUUUCCAAGUGAGUUACCGGGUUUACCGCCGGAUAGGGAGAUCAAAUUUGUAAUAGACAUUGUUCUAGGAUCGACACCAGUCUCAAGGGCACCAUAUUGUAUGGCGCCUGUGGAAAUGAAAGAGCUAAUCAUUCAGUUACAGGAACUAUUGGACAGAAAGUACAUUCAACCAAGUGUUUCCCCGUGGGGGGCACCGGUAUUGUUUGUCAAGAAUAAAGAUGGAUCGUUAAGGCUUUGUAUCGACUACCGAGAGUUGAACAAGUUAACGAUAAAGAAUAAAUACCCAUUGCCCAGGAUCGAUGAUCUCUUUGAUCAGUUGAAAGGGGCAAAGUAUUUUUCUAAGAUAGAUUUGCGGAAGUGGUAUCACCAAUUGAAGGUUAGGAAGGAGGGUAUACCAAAGACGACAUUCAGGACUCGUUAUGGUCAUUACGAGUUUCUGGUAAUGUCAUUUGGGUUGACGAAUGCACCAGCUGCAUUUAUGGAUAUGAUGAAUAGAGUGUUCAAACAAUAUUUGGACAAGUUCAUCGUUGUGUUUAUCGAUGAUAUUCUAGUUUAUUCUAAGACGGCUGAAGAUCAUGCUGAACACCUAAGAUUAGUGUUGGAGACACUAAGGGAGGAGAAGUUAUAUGCGAAAUUCACUAAGUGUGAAUUUUGGCUAGAAAAGAUGCAGUUUCUGGGUCAUGUUAUUGACCAAGAAGGGAUUUAAAUGGAUCCAACGAAGGUAGAAGCAGUGAUGAACUGGGAAUAACCAAAAACGCCGACAGAGGUGCGGAGUUUCCUAAGGUUAGCGGGAUACUAUCGAAGAUUUAUCCAAGAUUUUUUGAAGAUAGCUACCCCGUUGACUAACUUGACAAGGAAGACGGUGAAAUACGUAUGGACGGAUAAAUGUGAAGAUAAUUUUUAAGAACUAAAGAAAAGAUUGAGUAAAGCACCUGUUUUGUCAUUACCAGAUGACACAGGAAAUUUUUUAGUGUAUAGUGAUGCUUUGCAUAGAGGACUUGGUUGUGUGCUCAUGCAGCAUGGCAAAGUCAUUGCGUACGCAUCACGACAGUUGAAGGAUUAUGAGAAAGUUUAUCCUACUCAUGAUCUGGAACUGGCCGCAGUAGUAUUUGCCUUAAAGAUAUGGAGACAUUAUUUUUAUGGGGAAAAAUGUGAGAUAUACACAGACCAUAAGAGUCUAAAAUAUAUCUUCACACAGAAGGAGUUGAAUAUGAGACAGAGAAGAUGGCUGGAGUUGAUAAAGGAUUACAAUUGUGAAAUCCUGUAUCACCUUGGAAAAGCUAAUGUAGUUGCCGACACCUUAAGUAGGAAGGGUUGGGAAGAGUUGUUUAUGUUAACGGCUCAAAAUGAGUUAGUAACAGAGAUGGCUAGGAUGAAGAUAGAAUUGAAGAUGCCUAGUGAAUCGGGACAAAUACUUUUUACGACAGAGAUGCAAUAUACCAUCGUAGAAAGAGUUAAGGAGGUGCAACUUAAAACUGAUGAGUCUGACCAAGUGAAGAAAAUGUUAGCUGAUGAAAAGGAUAUUAAGUAUAGUCUUGAUAAUGAGGGAUUAUUAAGAUUUGAAGGAAGAAUUUGGGUUCCAAAUGAGGCGGAGUUAAAAUAUCAAGUGUUACAGGAAGUUCAUAGUUCAAGGUACUCGAUACAUCCUGAUAGUUCAAAGAUGUAUCAAGACCUUCGACAGAGUUUUUGGUGGUCGAACAUGAAAAGAGAAAUAACAGAGUAUGUGAGUAGGUGUUUGACUUGUCAAAAAGUUAAGGCCGAACAUCAACGACCCAGUUGCUUGUUACAGUCAUUGGAGAUUCCAGAAUGGAAGUGGGAGCAUAUCACGAUGGACUUCGUGGUGGGACUUCCGAUAACAACAAAAGGGUACGAUUCGAUUUGGGUAAUAGUGGACCGGUUGACGAAGUCGGCUCACUUUUUGCCAAUUAGGGUCAAGUAUAACUUAGACCAAUUAGCUAAACUUUAUGUUAAGGAAAUUAUUUCUAGACAUGGAGUACCAGUAUCGAUUGUGUCAGAUCGUGACCCACGAUUCACAUCGAACUUUUGGAGAAGUUUGCAGGAACAGUUGGGAACACAGCUAAAGUUAAGCACAACCUAUCAUCCACAAACCGAUGGGAAGAACGAGAGAACAAUUCAGACGUUAGAAGAUAUGUUGAGAUCUUGCGUCAUGAAUUUCAAGGGUAGUUGGGAUGAUCACCUACCACUUGUAGAGUUUGCGUAUAACAAUAGUUAUCAUGCAAGCAUAGGCAUGCCGCCUUAUGAAGAUUUGUACGGAAGAAGGUGCAGAACACCAUUGUAUUGGGAUGAGGUGGGAGAACGCCGGAUGCUAGGACCAGAAUUAGUGCAGUAGACAGCGGAUGUAAUAAAGUUAAUUCGUAUGCGUCUUGUUACAACUCAGGACAGAUAGAAGAAAUAUGUGGACUCGCAUAGAUUAAAUCGAGAGUUUGAAGUAGGCUCGUAUGUGUUUCUAAAGGUAUCUCCCUGAAAAGGAAAGAUACGCUUUAGAAAGAAAGGAAAGUUAAGUCCAAGGUUUAUAGGACCUUUUGAAGUAUUAAAACGGGUGGGAGAGGUAGCCUAUGUGAUAGCAUUACCUCCAGAACUAUAACGAAUACAUCACGUGUUUUAUGUAUUUGUAUUACGUCCAUAUAAGCCAGACUAUAAGCAUGUAAUCGAGUAUGAGCCGAUUCAUAUCGAGAAAGAUUUAACGUAUGAGGAAUCGCCGAUUCAAAUCAUUGAUAGAAAGGAACAAGUUCAGUGGAACAAAGUUAUACCAUCGGUAAAGGUAUUAUAGAGGAACCACGCUGCCGAAGAAGCAACGUGGGAAUUAGAAGAAAAGAUGAAGAAAUUUUUUUCUCAACUAUUUGAUUAAAGUAAGACGAGAUUCUGGGGAUAGAAUCCUUAUAAGGGGGAAGGAUGUAAUGACUGAGAAAUUUAGAUUUUAUUGUAAAAUAAUUUUAUUGAAUUAAAUAAUAAAUAAAAUUAUAUUCUAUAUGUUAUCAAGAAGGUUGUUAUUGUAUAACCUAUUGAUGUGGGAAUGUCGUAGUAUUUUAGCUACGUGAAGGAAUUAAAGUGUUUGAAUUUCCAAGACGAAAAUAAAAGUUUUCCGAGAAAUUUUCUGAAAAACACUAUUCAUCGGUAUUUGCUCGGGAUUUAUUUUUGAAUUUUUGAGAAAUACGUAAUGAUAGAAUGUCAACGUAAGAUGGAUUAUGUAAUAAUAAUCUAUGUAUGGAAAAUGCAAUAUUUCACUUGCGAACUUAAAUUAAGAACGUUAAGGAAAGGGAAGUAUUAAUGAGUUAAGUGAUAAUCGUAUGAUACGUGAGUAUUGUACGAAGUAAUGAAUAUGAGUAUAAUACGGAGUAUUAUACGAGUUUGUAUGAAUGAUGGAAUAUCGUAUAUAAUGAAUUUCUAUACGAGUUAGAAUACGAGAAUGAUACAUAGACAAUACGUUUUAUGUAUUAAGUAGUAGUAUUGGACUUGUAGGAUUUGUUAGGAAUUGUUACAAGCCCAAGUGAAUUAAUGGUAAGGCCCAAAUGUUAAUUAAUGAACAAAUUAGUAUUUAUUAAUGCAAGCCCAAAAGCUAAGUUAAUCUAAGCCCAAGUUAAGAUCCAAUGAGUUGUAUUGACCCAUGGGGCGAACCAUGUUAAUAUGGUUAACCUUGGUAAUCAAGUAUAAUGUUUGAUGACCAAGUAUUAGGUGUAAUGACCGAGUAAGAGAAAAGAGUUGUGUUAACCAAGUAAUCAAUAGUAAGGAGGUGACUUAAGGAGGUGGGUUAGCCUAAUGACUAAAUUACCCUAACUUUGUAAAUUCUAUAAAUAGAAGGAGAUUGUUAGCCAUUUAUUACUUGUUCAACUAAACUAAUAACUUACAAAGUGCGUAAGUGUUGGAGAGAAUAAGCAAGAAUAAGCUACUUCCAUUUUUAAGAAGAAGAAGAAGACUUUUCCACAAGAACUUCAAAGGGUAAGACUUCUUCUUCAUUUAUCUUCUAUCUCUACCAUGAUAGGUUGAUAAGAAAAGAAUGGAUUAAGGAAUAUGGAUGAUAAGAAGUAAGAAAAAUAAUUAAUCAAUGGACUUAAGCCGCAUAAGUCGGAUAUAAGUCAUUUAAACUUGCAUAAGUUAUAAACUUAUGAAGAAGUUAUAUGAACUUAAUAUGAGUUUAUCUUAAGAAGUAGUAUGAAAGUAAAGAAUUUGUAUGAAUAUGUAUCAUGUAGACAUAAAUGACAGUAUGUAUUGAGAACAUAUAAAGAUGAUGAUUAAAAGACUUUAAUUAUCAUAAGUUAUGAACAAUGAAGCUAUAAGUAGUUUAUACCUUAAUAAGUUAUAAGCUCAUGUAAGAAUAAGUCAAAAUCCAACAUAAAAAUAAAUUGUUGUAUUAAGUAUGUUGAGAUGUUCAUAUGGUGAAUUGAAUUCAUUUGAAGUAAUGAACAAAUCAUAAGUAAUGAAGAUUUGCCGGAAAUUGCACGAUUGGACGAUAAUCGUCGAAUUCGUGAGAUUCUCAGAAUAGAAGUCAAAUUUUGUGUUUGAACUCGGAAACGUUGGUUUUCGAUGGAGACAAGUCAUAUUUGGCAUUAUAGAGUUGUGGACUCGAAAAUGACCGAAUUCCAACUUAGAACGAAGAAACGAGCGUUGAACGUUCACGAACGUUUAUCAUUUUUGUUAAAAAUGAACUAAUAGGUGAAUUUUUAGCAAACAAAGUCAAAUAGAUAAAAUUCUUGCUUGAACGCGUAGAGUAUGUAAUUUGUGAACCGUAGGCUUUUGAACGAGCCAAUUCGGACUUAUAACGAAGAAGUUAUGAGCCCGAGAAGUUCGCAAAAUUGACAAACUGUCAAAAUUUUCUGGUGUACAGAGCUGGCGCCGCGGCGCCAACCGAAGAGUAAUUCAUCGCGCCGCAGCGCCGUGAAUAGUCUAUGACCUACUGAAGAGUGGUGCUGCAACGUGGACCACUGAGUAAGGACUCGCGCCGCAGCGCCAAGUCUGGGACGUUGCUACUGCUAACUCGCGCCGCAGCGCGAGAUGUAAGCCUAUGACUGGCGCCGCAACGCCAGUCCUUGAUCAAAGAUAGUAAAGAAUAAUUAUGAGCACAAAGCAAGGAAUGAGAUUAACUCAAAGUGAACCUACCUUAAGGAACUUGAAGUAACAUUGUUAAAACUUUGUUAAACCUUAAGGAUAGUACGUAAAAGUUGAUGAUAACCUAUUCUAAUAUGAAUGUAAGUAGAAAGACAAGCCGGAAUUGAUAGUAAAUAAAUCUAAUACAUGAUUAGAUUGAGAUGACGGGUAGGAUAUAGUCAUAUACUAACUUGAUUAUAUAUGACCUAAUAUGAGGCGUUAUGUGAUCAUGUAUUAUAGAGACUUGAAAGACUCAAACAUAAAGUAAUUAUACAGUAGCAGACGCUAAAGGGAAGUAUUCUAACCCUUGUCUCAGUUUAAUCUGAACAAGUUUUGUAAUUCAUGAAUCCUUACACAUGAAUUGGUGUAUGAUCAAGUUAAAGCCUAUUCUUUCGGCUAGACUUAAUGCAUUUGAUGGAUUGUUGAUAAUCUAUCCAACUGUUAUUAAAUGUUGUUAUCUUUUGUCAACUACUUGAUAUGGUUUUCAAAAGAAGACUGAGUAUGAUAAACAAUUUUUUUGUCGUCAUACGACAAGCACGUGAGGUUGCCACAAAUUAAACGUACAUACGUUUAAUGAAUGUAGUGUUGAUCAACAUAGAGUACUAUAGGCUGAUCACUUAGAAGUGCUCAUAAGUAAUACCAGACUUACGGACUUAGUGCCAGGUUGUCCUUUUUAAAGAAAGAAUGAAAUACUCAAGGUCUUGGACCGGACUUUAUGUUUUAUUGAAUAUUAUUCAUUGUGAAACAGUUUGAAGGAAAGAUGAAGUGCUAUUUUGAAUUAUCAAUAUUACUUCAUAACUAUUGUUCAGUUAUUGAAGAUAUAAGAUUCUUAUGUGUCAAGCAUGUUGUUAUUGAAAUUGUUAUACUUGCUGAGCUAGUUAUGCUUACUCUUUCUUGAACCAUAUGAAUGUAGCUAAGACUGAAAGUCCCGAAGGAUCGAAUAAGGAUAAAGGAAAGGCUAAGGCAGAUCGUUAAUCGGUCUAUGUAAUAGUGUAGGUUUAUUGUUGUAUUUGUCCUUUUCAAAGAAAGAAUGAAAUACUCAAGGUCUUGGACCGGAGUUUAUGUUUUACUGAAUAUUAUUCAUUGUGAAACAGUUUGAAGGAAAGAUUAAGUGCUAUUUUGAAUUAUCAAUAUUACUUCAUAACUAUUGUUCAGUUAUUGAAGAUAUACGAUUCUUAUGUGUCAAACAUGUUGUUAUUGAAAUUGUUAUACUUGCUGAGCUAGUUAUGCUCACUCUUGCUUGAACCAUAUGAAUGCAGCUAAGACUGAACGUCCUGAAGGAUCGAAUAAGGAUAAAGGAAAGGAUAAGGCAGAUCGUUAAUCGGUCUAUGUAAUAGUGUAGGUUUAUUGUUGUAUUGUAUUUGAUAUUAUGACAAAGAACCUUUGUAAUGGGUAUAGAGACUGGGAAAUGUAAUGUUACUUUGAAUAUAUAGAAGCCAUGUUCGUUCUUUUGAGGUUUUUCAAUUGAAUGAAUGUAUGAAUGGUUGUACCGUGUGGCACCAUAUGUCAGAUUGGAAGAUACCCAGAUUUGGGGGCGUCACAGCAGUCCGCUGUGUUAGUGGGCCAGACGGCUGGACAUAAGAUUUCAAGGAAGUCACCAUUAGUGCUCUGAAAUGUCAAAUACAAUUAAUUCUUCAACGGAUGCCUUCAUUUGGAUAUAUUUCAAAGGCACCUUAUAUACGAAUCAGAUGUAGAUGCAAGAAAGCAAGUAAGUACACAACAAAAAGCUAAAGAACACUCAAACGCAAAACUCUACGAUCUAAAAAGAAAGCUUGCUCAACUACUCAGUUCUUUAGAACACAUGCUUAACGGCAAUUGAGUAGCACAACUCAAGAACUCAAUUCUCAUAAUGUAAAGAAAGAAGUUCCAAGUCUGCUGGACUUGAAUAGUUCUAAGUGAACUAUGAAGUUCCAAGACUGCUGGUCUUGAAGGAAUCUAAGUGAUUUGAAGAUUAUAAAGACAUCCUUAGUGGAUUUCCUACUCAAGGAGUAGAAGAGUGGAUUAGGAGCCUUGAGUGAUCUGAACCACUUAAAAAACACUGUGUCUUUUAUAUUCUUGCUAUAACCGCUAUAUUUAUCAUAACUGUUUAUCACCUAUUAACUUGGUUUAUCUUAAAGGGAAACAAACAAAUCUCAAAUUCUGCUGUGAUUAAAUCAUUAACAAAUUUGACAAGUAUAUUGUAAAAGAAAUUUUAAAAUAUCUAUUCAAUCCCCCCUUCUAGAUAAUUAUUGUGCCUCUGGGAACUAUCAAUUGGUAUCAAAGCAGGUUCUCUCAAUAAGCCUACUAAGCCUGAGUAGAUCCAAUGGCAAAACUGAUAAGCGAGUCCAAGACUGGAGGAGGCAGCAAGCUACCAAUGUGCAACAGAGACAAAUUUGCUAAUUGUAAAGUUCGCAUGCAAGCCUACAUGGAUUCAAUAGAUGAAUAUCUAUUUGAAAUUAUUCUGAAUGGGCCCUACGUUCCAACAAAGCUUGCACCAACUCCAGAUGAUCCGAACAGAGUUCAAAUCAAGAUCAAAGCAGAAUGGACUAACAACGAGAAGAAAGCUGUCCAACUCGACAAAAAUGCCAAGAACAUUCUAUUCCAGUCUUUAGAAGAUGAUCUGUUCGAGAAUGUGAUCAAUAUCAAACCUUCCAAGAAAGUCUGGGAGGCAUUACUUAUUAUGCAUGAAGGAACUGAAGAAGUCAGAGAAAACAAACAAUCUCUUCUGACUCAACAAUAUGAAAUGUUCGCCCAUGUUCCAGGAGAAAAUGUCACCUCCACCUAUAAAAGAUUCAAUGUGCUGCUCAACUCUCUACGAGCUUUUGGAAAGAUCUAUCCAAAUAAAGAUCUGAUCAUAAAAUUCAUGAGAGCUUUACCAAGCAAGUGGGAUGCCAAAACCACUGCCAUUAGAGAAUUAAAGAAUCUCCAUGAAAUGAAUGUUCAACAACUUUAUAGAAAUCUUCUCACCUAUGAACUAGAGUUGACUCAACAAGCAGAGACUCUAUCUGAAGGAAGAAAGAAGGAGAAAUGAGUUGCUCUCAAAUCAACAGAAGUUAUCUCCAAAGCUCAUAAUGAGAAUGACUCUGACUCCGAGAACGAUGAUGAUGAGGAUAUUGAUAUGUUGGUAAGAAGACUCAAGAGGUUCAUGCAUAAAGGCAGAAGCAACAAACCUAAGAGAUUUAACAACAAUAACAGCAAGGAGCAGAUCAACAAUUUAUGCUACAACUGCAAGAAGUUUGGCCAUUUCAUUGCAAACAACAAACCUCUUAGAGAAGAACUUAAGAGAAAAACAAAUCCAAAGAAAGAGUUCAAAGGAAACAAGAGGCUCCAGAAGAAAGAUAAGGGUCUUGUGGCCGGAGGAUCAUGGAGUGACUCAGACAACGACACAACUCCUGAGUCUGGAGAUGAUGAAGAUCCUCAAGUACCAAAUCUGUGUCUAAUGGCCAAAAAUUCAAAGGAUAAGAAAAGCAUUGACAAUCAUGAAGUAAGUAUCGAUGAGGUAUAUGACUUUAACUCUCCUGGUAUAGAUAUUGAUGAUUUAAGAACCGCACUACAUGGAAUAACAUCUGAUCUGCAUCAAUACAUGAAAUGGUUUAGAUUUCUAUCUAAAGAUUAUUCUCUUCUUUAAAAAGAGAAAGAGAAACUUCAAGAAGAACUGGAAACAGCUCUUCUAAGUGCUAACCCUCUCUCUAAAUUUGAAGCUGAGAAUAAACUCUUAAGAUAGACUAAUGAACUUAAUGCACAAAGAGAGUCAAAUCUAACCUCUAAGAUUAAGGAACUAGAAAAGACAAUAUUAAUAUGGAAUAGAUCCUCUUCAUCCAUGGACUCCCUGAUCUCCAGUCAGAGAAGUGUAUUUGACAAAACAAGUUUAGGUUUUGGGGAAUCCACCUCAGAACCAUAUGUGGAAAAGUCAAAGGAAACUAAGCAUUGCAUUUGUGAAGUCCUCACAGAAGGAAGAACCAGUCCAUCCCUGCUCUUUUGAUCCAAUCUAUGCUAUAAGGUAUAAAGGAUCUCAUGUUGGCCUAAAGUUCAGAAAAAAGAAGAGUAACUUAGUCACUACUCUCCAACCUCGAAGGAUUGUAGAGUCGAGCAAAAUCAACUCCACGAACCAACCAGGUAGGAAUAGUAGAGUUAAGUUUCACUCUUCUCAAAUCAUGAAUCACAAAGAUACAUUGAAAAAGAAGAAUCAGUAUAAAGGAAGGACUACCAAAAAUCCACAUAAGUCUAAAUGGGGAAAGAAUCCAUACACACACAAAAGCAUACAUCAUGCUAGAUUUUUUGUGUGUGAUAAAAUUGGUCAUAAGGCUGCAGUAUGUUUCAAUAAUCUUUUGCAUAUUGAACCCAAAAUUAAAUAGAUUUGGGUCCCCAAGGGUACUAAAAAUAUAGGACCCAUGCAAGUAUGGGUACCAAAAUAAGAGUAUAAACAUCACUAUAGGAACAGAGCUCUAGGAUCACAACUUGGUAUCUGGACAGUGGAUGCUCACGACACAUGAUCGGGAACAAAACCCUCCUGUCUAACUUCAUGGAGAAGGAGGGACCAACAAUUAUCGUCGGAGACACUGGCUCUGGCAAGACAAAAGGUUAUGGUUCAGCUGGGAAUGGUGCAGUGUCCUUUAACAAAGUAGCCUAUGUGGAAGGAGUAAAGCACAAUCUUCUGAGCAUAAGCCAACUUUGCGACAAGGGUCAUCAAGUUACCUUCCUCAACAAUCAGUGUCAAGUCAGAGAUCUGAAGACCUCUUCUAUAAAGCUGAUCGGAACAAGAGAAGGAAAUGUCUACACUGUUAAUCUUGGUCAACUGAGUUCUGAUGAGACAAUAUGCUUUCUGGCUAAAGCCUCUGAAGAAAUGAGAUGGCUAUGGUAUAGAAGGCUGUCUCAUCUCAACUUCAAAAGCAUGUCAAAACUAGCCUCCAAUGAUCUAGUAGCAAGCUUACCCAAGCUCAACUUUGUCAAAGAAAGGCCAUGCAACUCUUGUCAACUUAGAAAACAAACUAAAAGCUCAUUCAAAAGCAAAGCUAUCAACUCAAUUGAUAAGCCCCUGCAAUUACUUCACAUGGAUCUAUUUGGGCCAAUUCCAACAACAAGCCUUGGAGGGAAGAGAUAAUCAUUGGUAUUAGUGGAUGACUACACCAGAUUUACAUGGGUGUUCUUUCUAAACUCAAAAGAUGAAAAAAGUUCCCAACUCAUCAAGAUGUUCAAGCUGGUGAUGAACGAAAAAGGGAAGAAAAUCAAGGCUAUAAGGAGUGAUCAUGGUAGAGAAUUUGACUUCUCUGAGAUGGAUCAGUUCUGCACAAACAAUGGCAUCAGUCACAACUUCUCAGCUCGACGAACUCCACAGCAAAAUGGAGUAGCUGAAAGAAAGAACAGAACGUUGAUUGAAGCUGGACGAACUCUACAAGCAGCAACUUGUUUAUCUGAAUACUUCUGGGCAGAAGCUGCCAACACUUCAUGCUACACGCAGAACAGGUCUCUUGUGCACUCUACGUUAAAGAACACUCCUUACGAGCUGUGGAGAGGAAGAAAGACAAAUGUCAGCUACUUCUAUGUGUUCGGUUGUGCAUGCUAUAUUCUCAAUAAUUGGAAAAUAGUAUCCAACUAAGUUUCAUCCCAAGUCAGAUGAAGGAAUCUUUCUCGGAUAUGCCACAGACAGUAAGGCUUAUAGAGUAUUCAACAAGAAGACGCUAAGUAUUGAAGUCUCGAUUCACAUCAUCUUUGAUGAAACAAACUUAGACAAAACUGUGCCUCAAGACACUAUGAUCGAAAACUCAAACACUACGAACGAGGUGGUCGAGCUCGACACCACGAUUGUAGCCCUAGAAAAUAAAAUCGUCGAGCCUGAAGAAGAGAUCAUAGAGAGAGCUACACCAGACGACGAACCUCUACAAUAAGAGACAGAGGUUAAUCUCAAAGAAUUCAGACAAAAAGGCAGUAAAACGGAUGUUCCAACAGGAAACAGAUGGGCAAGAGAUCACACUCAAGACCUGAUCAUUGGAGACCCAAAUGCAAGAGUCAAGACAAGAUCUGCCAUCCAUAAUGCGUGUUUCUAAGCUUUCUGUCAUAAAUAGAACCCAAAAAGAUAAAAGAUGCUAUAGAAGACUUAAGUUGGAUAGAAGCCAUGCAAGAGGAACUAAAUCAGUUUGAACGAAGCAGAUUAUGGAGAUUAGUUCCAAGACCAAGAAGCCACCCAGUUAUUGGCACCAAGUGGGUCUUCAGAAACAAGAUGGAUGAAGAUGGGGUAAUAACUAGGAACAAGGCAAGACUAGUCAAAGGUUAUUCCCAAGAAGAAGGCAUCAACUACAACGAGACCUUCACACUUAUUGCCAGAUUAGAAGCCAUCAAGAUAUUCCUUGCUUUUGCUGCCCACAUGAAGUUCAAAGUCUUUCAAAUGGAUGUCAAAAGUGCAUUUAUGAAUGGUGAACUUCAAGAAGAAGUAUUUCUGGAGCAACCUCUAGGUUUCAUCAAUCUAACUCUUUCUAAUUAUGUCUAUAGAUUAGAAAAAGCCUUAUAUGGACUUAAACAAGCACCUAGAGUAGGUAUAAAACACUAACUAACUUUCUUAUUGAAAAUGGCUUCACUAGAGGUAGAGUAGAUAACACAUUAUUUCUUAAGAAGCACAAAAAUAAUGUAAGACCCCAACUUUUAUGAAUAAAGAAUAAUUUUUCUCGAAAUAUAUUUUUAAAUAUUAUGGUGUGGAUAUGAUAUAAUGUUAUAGUUAUGGGUAAUAUUUACAAAUUUUGCAAAGUAAGCAAGUUGUUAUAAAAUAUUCGAUUGGUCGGGAAAUAUUCGAUUUAACAGGGAAUAUUCGUACGACGGCAUAAUCAUUGGUGGACCCCACAACGGAAGUAUUGUCGUAGUUAGAAAAUGACAAAAUUAUCUUUUUAUAAAAAUAACGACGAAAGUUUUACCGUUAAACUGUUGAACUACCCGGUGGUAAAAGUACAGUAAUAUGCGUGGUUACAUAGUAACACACGGUAUUGAUUAUUGAUGCUUACGUGAGAAGUCACUCAGUUAUACUCAAUUAUUGCUACAAUAAUUGCUGCAUAAUAUCUCUCAUAUUAUUGAUUCAAUUAUUGUCACAAUAAUAAUAUUUUAUAUUAUUAAAUCAAUAAUUGAGACGACAAAGUUAUUCAUAUUAUUAUUUGCAAUAUUGACGAUGUCUAGAAAGUUUUGUCGAGGAGAGGUUUGGUCACCUAGUUGCGCGCCAAUAGGGAGAAAUCCUUAUCAGAAAGCCCCCUCUUUCUUGGGAAUGUUCUGGUUGUUAAAUAUUGUGGGUUAUAAUAUUAAUGAUGAAUAAGUUCGUGUUGAUUAAAGAUGAAAUUGAUAUUUCCAUUGUGUUGGGAUUAUUAGUGUUAGUGGAAAUCGACAUUUAUUUCGAUAAGGUUAUAUUGACCAAUCGGGUAAUUAAUUGGAUAAAUGAGUAAUUAAUUGCUAUUAAUUCACAUACUUAUAACUAUUUGUUCACAUGUGUGUACUAUUGAUUCACAUGCAUGUAAUAUUAGGGGAGGUGGUGCAAGAUUGAUAUACUUGCAUGACUAAAUUAAAAAUAGAGGUAUAGAUGAAGGUACUAUAAUGUAACUAUUUUUUUCACAUGUAUAGAACUAUUGAUUCACAUGAAUGUACUAUUGAUUCACAUGAUGUACUAUUAGGGGAGGUGGUGCAAGUUUGAUAAUACUUGCAUGACUAAAUUAAAAAUGAAGGAAAAGAUGAAGGUAUUAUACUGUAAUAUUUCGAGCCCCAAAACGUGCAAUUAUCGAAACUAUAUUUUCCUAUAAAUAGUAGCUCAUUCUUCUUUCAUUCUCAUGAAUUCACUAAGACUCACAAGAGCAAUUAUAGAGAGAGAAGCUAUAGAGACAAAGAAGAAGAGAAGUCUGAUACUUCACUAUUCCAGUAUCCAGUCUUCUUCUGAGGUAAGGGAUAUUAUUUUUGUCUAGUAUUCAUAAGGAAUAAUAUUUUCUUUCAUACUCUAUAGUAUGUGAGUAAUAUUAUUUCGUCUCAUAUUCCUGAUUAUACCCUAAUUAUGUUAAAGUAUUGUUUCUAUACUCCGUGAAAUUAGUAGAAUAUCCUUGAAAUUUGCGCUUCAUCUAGUAUCGUUUCACAAGGAUAUUUUCUGCACAUUCUUAUUUAAUUUUAAGCUUUUCAUGCCGGAGUACUUCCCAUGAGUACUAUUCAUAGGUACUAUUCAUAGAGUACUAUUCAUAAAGUACUAUUCAUGAGUACUAUUGACAAAGUACUAUUCAUGGGGUAUUAUUCACCCGAAGUACUAUUCAUGACAAAAAUUGAUUUCUUUUCGGUCUAAAUCAUUUUUGAUACAAUAUCAUUCUUGAAUUUUACUCCACAAAGCAGUAUCAUGUUGGCAAUUUGAACAUUAUUGAAUUCCGGAUAAAUUAAAUUAUAAAUCUUUAAAAUUUAUCCUUUGCUUUCUUUUAAUUGAAUUCUUAUAUCAUUAUCAUCAUCCUCAUGCUUAUAUUGUGAUGAAAGUCAUAUGUGGCUUAUGUGCAUAGAUGGACUAUUGAUUGGUAUGAUUAUGACCAGGGAUCAUUCGGUAUAAUCAUGACCCGUAAUGUUACAAAUAAUGUGGUAAAAGUCCUCAUUGGCCCGUAGUACAUUAAUGGACAGUUGUUGGUAUGAUUAUGACCAGGGAUUAUUUGGUAUAAUCAUGACCAUUGAUGAUUACAUGAAUAUCCUUGGCCUGUAGUGCAGGGAUGAUUCGAUGAUGUGGUUUAUUUAUUGAGCUGAGUCUCAGCGAUAAAGUUGAUGAAAAACUUUUUAAAUCAUAGAAGAUAGUAGAUAUCAUGCUCUACUUAGCUCUUUUAAUGGACUACUUGUUCCGCUGCAGUUAAACUUGAUGUUUAUUGUAUUUUAUUAGUUUAAUACUGUUGAAGGCUAAUGAUAAUUUAUUCUGUAUUAUCUUAGUCAUAAUAUUUCUUACUGGGCUAGUUGAGCUCACCCUUUUGCUUUCAUUGUUCUCUUCAGGAAAUGAGAACGUAGUCGGGACUAGUCGGGGAACGGAGUGAUGGUCCGAGAUGGUGUUAUAGUAGUCCUCACUAUUCUAUAAAAUAGUGUGACAAUAAAUGUAAUGAGGACUCCAUUUAAGUUUGGAUAUUGUCUAGAAGACAAUAUUCGUAUAAAAACUCUCAGCUCAUGUUGUAUACUUAAGUUUGUAUAUUUAUUCAGUACCAUGUAUUUGGCGACCCAAGAUGGAUGAUGUAUACCUAUUUUGGGGGCAUCACAAAUAAAGUCUUAUUAGUUUAGAUAUAUGUAGAUGACAUUAUCUUUGGUUCUACUGAUGAAAAAUUGUGCAAGAGAUUUGCCAAGCUUAUGCAGAGAAAGUUCAAAAUGAGUAUGAUAGGUGAGCUAAAUUUCUUCCUUGGACUACAAGUAAAGCAGACUGAUGAAGGUAUCUUCAUUAACCAAGCCAAAUACAUUAAAGACUUACUUAAGAAAUAUGGCAUGGAAUCAGCCUCUCCCAUGAAAACACCAAUUGUUCCAGCAACUAAGCUUGAAAAAUUUGAGAUACUCAAUACACAGGUAUGAUAGGCUCUCUUCUAUAUCUAACUACCAGUAGACCAUACAUAAUGUUUGUAACAUGCAUAUGUGCUAGAUUUCAAGCUAAUCCUAAGGAAUAACACUUAACUGCUGUAAAGAGAAUUUUUAGGUAUCUCAAAAGUACACCUCACUUGGGACUUUUGUAUCCCAAGGAGUCCUCAUUUGAACUGACAGGAUAUACAGAUGCUGAUUUUACAGGCUGCAAGAUCGAUAGAAAAAGUAUUAGUGACACUUGUCAUUUGUUAGGAAACAAACUUGUGUCCUAGUUUAGCAAGAAGCAAAACUCAGUUUCUACCUCAACAACAGAAGUUGAAUACAUUGCUGCCGGUAGCUGCUGUGCUCAAAUUUUAUGGAUGAAAAAUCAGCUAGCAGACUAUGGGUUUGAUUUCAAAUCUAUACCUGUUCAUUGUGAUAACACAAGUGCCAUAACAAUAACACAUAAUCCUGUCAUGCAUUCUAGAACUAAGAAUAUAGAGAUAAGAUAUCAUUUUAUUAGGGAUCAUGUCCAAAAUGGAACUAUAUCUUUACAAUACAUCCCUAAUGAAAAUCAACUUACCGAUGUCUUUACAAAACCUUUAGAUGAAUCCAGAUUUAAUAAAUUAAUAAGUGAGUUAGGUAUGAUAAAUCUGCAACCAUAAACUCUAUGCUCUAGUUCGUGCUAACCAUGCAUAUAAAAAGGCUAUGUUAAAAUUGUAGAGAUGACUAAAGAGAAACCCUGAUCGUAGAGCAGUCUCGACGUGAUAGAGAAGUAUCCUGUGAUGAAAACAUUCCUAUCAAAUCCAAACAACCCUUCUGAUAAGCGCCUCUGGGACAAACCUGACCCUUAGUUCAGUUUAGAAGGUUGGCCCUUCCUGAGCUACCUUAACCCAGACAGAAUGCUAAGUCAGAACUCAUCACAGGGACCAAAAAAGAUAAUGAUCGUAGAGUAUAAUCAGUAGUGACCUCAAUAAUCGUAGAGCAGCCUUGACGAUCUUAGUCUUCUCAAAGGAUACACUAGCUUAGGGGGAGCUGAGGGCAGAUCAGUAUUUUCCACAUUAUUUAAAAUCGUGGAGCCCGAUAGAACUCGACACGUGCCCCACUAUGCAGAUCAUGUGGAGGAAAGUUACAAAUAUAGUUUAAAAAGGCUUUUUGAAAGUUCACCUUAGAAUUUUAAAAGCUCAUUCCUCUCUCUCUCUCUCUCUCUCUAUCAAUAGAAACCCUAGCUUUCAAAACGAUAAACCAAUCUCUAUUCAAGGAAAUCAAUGGCUGCUUCCAAUGUUAUAUCUAGUUACCAACUCUUCUUCGACGAAUUCAUGACAGCUGACCCUCAGUUCCACAAGAUUCCAUCUCUUCUGAAAAAAGAUGAUCUUAAAGAAACUCUGAGCACCAACACAAGGAUCUACCUAAAGCUGGUGAAAGAGUUCUACAACAAUGGAGUCUUUGAGGAUGACAUUAUCACUUCAAGGGUCAAGGGGGAACAGAUUAAACUCAAAGCUGAAGAUAUAAACCUAGCCCUAUAGUUUCAAAUCAAAGGGACUCGUAUCUAUGGAUGUCAUCGACUUCCAUGAAGGUCUGAAGAAAAUGCACCAUACGAAGUUUCAAAACGUCAAGAGGUGCAAGAAGAAAGAGUUUCCCCAAAAGUAUGAAUUUCUGGCUGACAUUGUUGGGAAGUGCAUAUGCUGUAAAAUCUCUGGCCACGACUCUGUAAAUGAAGUUCAACUAAAGCUCAUGACAGCAAUCUGCUUUAGAAUUUAACUCAACUAUGGGGCUCUGCUUAUAGAAUGGAUCGGGAAGUGGAUACUUAGCUCAAAGAAAACAAAGAGCUCUGGGAAAAUGCUCUAUGGGAGGUACAUAAGCAUAAUCCUGCAAUCUACUUUGGGUGACAAAAUUAGAGACGAGGAAGGGGAACCCAUCAACCCCAACAGAAGAAUGACCUAGCAGCUAUUUCAAAACUAGAAAAGAAACCCUGCAAAAAAUGUAAAAAUGAUGUCUGAAUCCAGUGGAAGGACUGGUGAAGCAAAGGUAUCUGAGCUACCAGAAAACAUGUCUGUUGUGAAGGAAGGUGAAGAAGAAGAAGAAAUUAUUAAGAGAACCCAUUGCUUUGAUCAAAAAAAGCAAGGGUAAGAGAGAAAUGAAAGUUCAAACAACAGAAGAGCCUCAAGGCUUAACCACUGAUGCGCCUUAAGAGAGUUCGGGCACUAAAAUUUUAAAGGAAAUAAAGAGGAAGGAGCAUCAGUCUGAAGAGGAAGAAGAUAGAUCCACCAUCUCUCAGCUGCUUAAAAAGGGAAAAUGCAGCCACAAAAUAAAGAAGUCUUCACUCUCUUCGAUCAUAGAGUCAUUACCGAUCGUAGAGUCUAGACUUACCAUCACUCCAGAAGUGGAUACUACAGCAGUAUCUCAACCUGAACCAACUGUCAAAGCUUAAGCUGAAGAGAGCACCGAGGCUGAAGCUCAGCCCAGAAAGACAAGGAAAAAGCUUGUCAAGAAACAUGUUCUUGAAAAUGAGAAAGCCUUGAAGGAAGAAGAAAGAUAAAUAGCUGCAGAUAAGGAGCUUCCUAAAAUUCUUGCACUAGGAAGUGCUCCAAUUGAGGGGGAGCUGCCUGAAGAACAAAUGAAUGUUAAGAUUCAGGGGGAGAUUCUCGAAGUCCCUAUGCCAGAAAGUGCUACAGCUAAGGGGGAGAUACAAGAAGAUAUGGACAUCGAAGGUGUGAAAGCUAUGAAAGGAGAAAUGGAUGAAGAUCAGUCAAAAAAUGAGAAGAUGUUUGAAGUGGUGGAAAUUUCAAAUGAAGAAAAUGAAGAUUGGGAAGAAGAAGAGGAUGAUGAAGUUGAGAUUAUAGCAAAGGGCUGGGAUGGAUAUAGGAGAGCAAACUACAAUCAGCUGUUCUUCUACUUACCAAUGAUGCCCUAUCACAGAGCCCAAAUUCUCAACUCCUGGGAUCACAUGUUAUGAACUUUCAAAGCCUAUCCAGCAAUCUCAGUGCUAGCUCAUGGAUUCCCAAGCAACCUCACGUUUGCUCAGAAGCUGAUCACUAACCAUCCUUUUUCAGAAACUGGGCGUGAGGUAUAAUCAAUUCACAUCUCUUUUAGAGUUAAUCACUGUCCUCCAUCAAAUUUCAACCAAUUCUAUGAAUUUCCAAGAUGGUUGGAAGUGAUUCUUCACCCACUAAACCAAUUUCUAGCUACAGAAUCCCAACAUUCUGUAAUCGAUGAACCAAAUAUACCUAACUUUAUAUUAAUACAAUCUCCCACCAUUUCUCACUCUACGGAUAUCAAUCCUACUCAAAUGGUAGAGUCAACCUCUCAACCAGCACAAACAACACCUCCUCCCAAAACCCAAUCCCCAAUACCUAAACCUCCUUCAGACAUUCCUUCUUCCUCAAUAAACAACUACUUUGAUCUUGCUCUUGCUCUCUCAAACCUGCAACACCAAAAUACAAAAGCCUCUCCUCCAGGAACCUAGCAAAUACUUGAGCUUCUCUUAGAACUUCCCACAAAAUCUGGGCUGUCUAAUGCAUCACAGAAAGUGACUACAGAUAUUUAAGAAGAUCUUGAAUCUCACUCUCCACUUGUUCAUACAAGGCUGAACCACUUGAUAGAUGUUGCCAACACUCUUCCUCACAAUCUGAGUUCUGAACUCACAAAGAAGCUUCGGGAAAUCAUCAAGGAAAUGAUCCAUAGCAUAAAUGAAAGGGAUCAAAUUCACUUUUAAUCUGCUCAGAAGCACAAGGAAGCAGUUAUCCUUCUACAUCAGACUCAGGAGGCUCAAAAUAAACUGGUUAUGGAGAGCCUCUCAAGCCUGUGAUCUUCCCUGAAAGAAUUCCAAGAAUACUCUAUCCGUCAGAUGCAACAAACAGACACUGUCUUGGCCAUUCUAUAAAAACAUAAGUCUCAAACUAAUUCUCUGGUUCAAGAAAAUUGUGAAGACAUUGCUUAAUCCAGGAAUCAGCUCCACGAACUUGUUUAAGGCGUGAAUCGUCUGUUUGAAAACAUUCAAACCCUUGAUGUUGACAUAAAGGGGGAGAAUAAAGGGGAAAGAGAGAAAGGAAGAGGGAAACAAAUUUCUCAAUCCUCAAGAAGCCCUCUCUUAAGAUAGCCUCGACAUCAGAUUUAACGACCUGAACAGCAGCAGCGCCAGCCAAUUCUUAUGGCGCAACCACUAAAGAGUCAAGGGCCUUCUCCUAACUCAUAAGGGGUAACCACUACUGGCUUGAACAUGCCGAUUGGAGACCUUGUCUUUAUAAACAUACAUAACCAUGAAGAAUGGCUAAGUCAAAGCGAAAUGGAAGAAAUUGCAUGGAUAGAUGAAGCUAGCAGAAGAAGGAGAGCUGCAGAGCAUGCCAAUCCUCCAAGAAGCAAAAGGUAGAAAAAAUAGAGAUAAGUUGAAAUUUAUUUCUUAUUGAUGUAACUAUAUUUUAUUGUAAUAUUUGUCUCUAAAAACAUCAAUAAAUUCAUGCUUAUUCUCUAGAGAUUUCAGCUGCUCACUGAAACACUAAGUCAUAUUUACUUUAUAGCAACUGCAUCUAGAAAUUGAUGAUUAUGAUACAAAUCUCCUUGGUUAUGUCAACAUCAAAUAGGGGGAGAUUUUUGGGUAUUGUAUAUUUAAAUUUAAUGUUGAAAGUAAAUAAUCAUGAUUAUAUGUAAAGUCCUUCAAAGAACAUAUGUACAAGGACUUAGAUGAUAGAUCAAAAUUGCUAGGUUUAUCUGUGCUUUAUAUUUAUCAUUCUGUAAAUGAAUGUAUAGAAGAAAAGAUCAAUGUUGUUAGGAUGAUCUAUUUUGAGAUGUAAUAGAUAGGCAUCAAUAGAAUCGUAUUCUGUCGAGCCAGCCGAGAAAUUGUAGAAGCCAAGGAAGAAUCGUAGAGUAUCGAGAAUCAUAGUCUAUCUGCUUUGGAGGGCCUCUCCUAGUAUCAUAGAGUGGUCCAAACGCCUGCCGAGCAAAAUUAAGAAUCGUAGUCUAUUCUCGAAAGCAUAGAGUCUGCAAAUAAAGCAAGCAAAGAUCAUAGUCUACCUGUGCUUAAGAGAAAUUGUAGUGUUCUCAUCUAUCAGUCUGUAUCAAGCACGAGUGUGACAAGACACCACGAUUAUGAUCGUAGUGCAUCAUCUAUCAGCAUCAGAAGCAUCGAGCUUUGUCCAUUUGUUGAAGAAUAGAUUACAACAAAUGUGGAAUGGAUUAUAGACGUUGAGACUCUCAAGAAUCCCAAUGAUCCAACACUCAUCCUUAGUAUAUAACAAAGAAAUGUAUUGAAGAAUCUAAGGAAAGUACUGCAUUUCAGCUGAAAACACCUUUUUAGGUGUUAGGUGAGAUAGCAGUCUGCUGUGUCAGUGGGCCAGACGUCUGGAUAAAAGAUUUCCAGAAAGUCACCAUUAGUGCUCUGAAAUGUCAAAUACAAUUAAUGCUUCAACGGAUGCCUUCAAACAUAAAUAUUUUAAAGGCACCUUAUAUACAAAUCAGAUGCAGAUGCAAGAAAGCAAGCAAGUACACAACAAAAAGAUGAAGAACACAUAAAUGCUAAACUCUAUGAUCUAGAAAGAAAGCUUGCUCAACUACUCAGUUCUUUAGAACACAUGCUUAACGGCAACUAAGUAGAACAACUCAAGAACUCAACUCUCAUAAAUUGAAGAAAGAAGUUCCAAGUCUGCUAGACUUUAAGAGUUCAAAGUGAACUAAGAAGUUCCAAGACUGCUGGUCAUGAAGGAAUCUAAAUGACUCGAAGAUUGUAAAGACAUCCUUAGUGGAUUUCCUACUCAAGGAGUAGAAGAGUGGACUAGGAGCCUUGAGUGAUCUGAACCACUUAAAAACACCGUGUCUUUUAUAUUCUUGCUAUAGGUGCUAUAUCUGUCAUAACUGCUUAUCACCUAUUAACUUUAUUUAUCUUAAAGGGAAACAAACAAAUCUCAAAUUCCGCUGUGAUUAAAUCAUUAACAAAUCUUACAAGUAUUUUGUAAAAGAAAAUUUAAAAUAUCUAUUCAACCCCCCUUCUAGAUAACUAUUAUGCCUCUGGGAACUAACAUAAUAUUUUAUAGUCGUUGGUCUCCUUAUUAUAUAUACUCUUCCUUCUAGGCUUAUUAAAGAGGACAAUACUACAUGAAAUAUAUCUUCUAAUAUUAAAGAGCUUUCAAAGAAAAAAUUUCCCCUAUUAUUUCAUGUCUUGUUAUUAAUAUUCCUUUUGGGCUAGAAAAUCAAAGUUCAUUGUAAUCAUAUUUCCUUAUAUUAAAAUAUAAGUUCAAGCCUUAUUUGGCUUGGUUGAUCCAGUAGUGGAUAAAUGUUGUACAAAUAAGCUCUAAAGGUUGUAGUGGUGAGAAAGUUGCAGUGGUGCAAAAGUUGUAGAGGUGAAAAGGGGGCAGUCGUUUCCAACAAAGAACAAAGCUUAUUUGUAAAGGGAGUAUUUAUAUUUAUUUGAAGAAUUUAUUAAUAAAAAUGAGUCUUCAAUACUAAUUGGUAUUAGACGUAGAUUAGGCCACUAUAUUAGAGGAUAGGGGUUAAACCACAUAAAAAUCUUGGUGUGAUUUUUAUUUUGUUCUAUUCCUUAAUCUGCAAUUUAUUAAUUCUGCAUUUUUAGUUCUGAUUUGUGCUUGAAGAUAUAUUAAUCCAGACAUGGUAUCCUAUUAGAUUAUCAUUAACAAAGAACGUAUACUAAAACAGAUAGUCAUUUGUCUGAUUAUAAUUAAAAUAGACAAGGUUACCUGUCCAUUUAUAACUUGUAGCAGGAAAUCUUGAAAAUUGACCCCUGUAGAUCACUUUUGGUAUUUACACCUAUUCACCGCCCCUCUAGGUGUUCCUAUUUAUAGAAUCACAUUUGGUAUCUGAGCAAGUUUCUACUAAUAUUGAUCUUUACAGGUCGUAGGGGAAGAUCUUAUAGUACACCUUAAGUUUCAAGAAGAACAGUCCACAAGCAGACCGCCUCUGUUGCUUGGAGGCGAGAAAUUCAACGUUUGAAAAUUUAAAAUGAAGAUUUAUCUCAAGAGAGACCCAUGGGAAUGGUGGGUAUUGAUAAUUGACAUGUCAUUCUAAGGCAAAAUGACGGUAGACCCAAGACUCUCUUGAAAAUGGAUGCAAAUGAAAUCUACAUAUUUUCCUACAACUCAAGAGCUAUUAACUCCUUGCUAAGCGGAAUGAUCCAAGCUGAAAUUGAUAAAGUAUCAUCCUUCAACAUAGAAAAAGAAAUGUAGGACACUAUCUUGAUGAUUCAUGAAGGUACUUCCAAAGUCAAGGAGGUUAAAUUAAGUAUACUAAUGCAAGACUAUGAGCUAUUCAAGUUAGACAAGGAUUAAACAAUCAAUGAAGCUCAAGCGAGGUUCUUCACACUAAUGAACUCUCUCAGCAUGCUAGGUAGAAAAAUUGAACAAAAGAAAAUCAAUAGAAAGCUGUUGAGAAUUAUGCCCAAACGGUUCACUCCAAAAGCCACCACUUUACAAGACUCGUCAACAAUCAGCACCAUGGAAACACUUACACACUUUGGUGAAAUUGAAGUGUUUGAAAAUCAACUCAAGAGGUAUGAUGAUGAAGAUGAGGCACCAAUAAAGAAGACAUUGGCACUUCAGGUCGAGAGCAACAAUAAAGGUGAUCAAGAAGAUUUUGAUGAAGAAAUUGAAAUGCUCUCAAGAAAACUCAAGAGACUAAUUCAAAGAAAGAAACAAAGGAAGAAUUAAAAAGGUAGCUCAACUCCAAUGAGUAAGUCCAAAACAAAAAAAAAAGAAGAAAUUGGUCAACUCUGUUUCAUGGGACUAAAAGAUGAUGAUCAACUUGAGGUAAACAAUUAUCAUUUUAAUGAAGCUUUUGAAAUAUCUAUGCCUGGUUCUAUUGGUUUACAAAAUGAAAAUCAACAGCUCAAAAAGAAAACUGCCUAUUUUAAGAAUUGCAUAAUUAAGCUAAUGAAUGAAGGUAAGUCAUUUAUUGAAGAAAGAAAAGAAAAUUAAUAUCUCAAAAAUGAAAAUGAUAUUUUAAAAGAAAAUUUGAAAAUGAGAGAUACAUGCAUAGAUGCUUUAAAUAAUAGAAAAAUGAUGAAUGUGCAACAUGAUGAUAAUAAUGAAGAAAUAAUAUCUUUUAAAAAGGAUCUUGCAAAAUUUGUACAAUGAGGAGAAAAUUUAAAUAUAAUGUUGGGUGCUCAAAGAUCUAGAAUUGAUGUGCAUGGGAUUGGGUAUAAUCCUAUUAAAAAUGUGGAAAAUAGAACUAAUGAUAAUAUAAGAAUUAUUAAUAGUAAACCAAGAUUGAAUCCACUUUAUUCUUCACCAUUUGUUACUUGUAAAAAAUGUGGUUUUAAAGGUCAUUUUGAUUCUAAUUGUAAUAAAAUUACAAAAAAAACAAAUCUGGGUUAAGAAAUGUGAUUUAUAUGAUACUAACAUAAAAGGACCCAAGAAGAUUUGGGUCUAAAAAGGUAGAGACUAUUUGUUUGUUUUGUAGAUGUUUCAAGGUCUAAAUGGAGACGGAUAGUACUUUACUUUGAGAAAGUAAGUUACCUAAAUUAUUUUAAGGAAUAUAUAAGUACCUCAUGUUAUUUUUUAAAAUAAAGUUAUAAUUAGAUAUAUUAUUAUGAAAACUCUAUGGAUUUCAUAAAACAAGGGUACCUAACAUAAGUUACUCUAAAGUUUUCUUAUUGUGCUAAAUGCUCCAUAUUUAAUACACAUGAUAAUCUUGAUAAAAUGUUGAGGAAUCUAUUCAUAUUAUAUUUGAUGAAUUUAACCUAGAUUUGUUAAAAGAAGUGGAUGGAGAUUCUGCAGAAAACAGAUAAAGGAUCUGGAAUUUAGAAAUCAAACAGCUGAAUCCAGACAGCUUAACCCGUUUGCAUCAGAAGUAAAGACAGAUGAAAUCAGUCACCCUGCCCCAUUUGCUUACGAAGAAAACUCAUAUAUACAAACAGUUGAUUCUAGACAGCCUAACUCAUCUGCUUUAGAAGAAAAAUUAGACGAAUUUUCAAAAGAAGAAAUUGACAUACAAGAACAUGAACUAGAAGAGCAAAUGUCAAAUGUCAGACUUCUUAGAUAAACCAGAACCAUAAAAAAUACCCCUCCAAAUCUGAUUAUAGGAGACCUUAACAUUAGGAUGACCAAAGAAGAGUUUUUGAAGAGAUUUGGCUAUGAAAAUACAAAAUUCAAAGCUACACUAUGGUACAGAUAACAACAAUAUUGAUAUAAUAGUAAUAAAUCACAAAGGUAUAAUCAUUUUGUUUUCUUAUUAUAUGUGUUAUAGUUAUAAGUUUAAUCCAGUGUCAUUCUUUAUCCUUGCGCUUAUUUCUUUUAUGUUGACAAAAGGGGAGAGAUAUAAACUAAAUUGAUAUGAUUGUUUUAUAAUCAACCUGUGCUUAAUGAUUAAUAUGCAUGGUUUCAUUUAAUUCUUAUAUAUAUAUAUAUAUAUAUAUAUAUAUAUAUAUAUUGUACUAGAAUAUACAAAUAAUUGUUAUUUGGAAUAUGCAAAUAAUGGUGGCAUAUGCUGUGACGCCCCCAAAAUAGGUUUACAUCACCCAUCUUGAGUCGCCAGAUACAUGGUAGAGAAUACAAAUAAAAACUUAAUUAUACAACUGUCGUGUAAAAUACGACAAAACAUACUCUGAGAGUCUUAACAGGAAUAUUUCCUUCUAGACAGUAUUCAAACUCAAUGGAGUCCUCAUUACAAUUAUUAUCACACUAUUUUAUAGAAUAGUGAGGACUACUAAAGCUACUUAUCAUGGACCGUCACUCCAUUCCCCGACUCGUCCCAGCUAUAUUCUCAUUUCCUGAAGAGAACAAUGAAAGAAAAGGGUGAGCUCAACUAGCCCAGUAAAAAAUAUUAUGACUAAGAUAAUGCAGAAUAAAUUAUCCUUAGCCUUCAAUAGUAUAACAACUGAUAGAAUAUAAUAGACAACAAGUUAUAGAUCAACAAUUGCAGCGGAAUAAGCAAUCCAUUAGAAGAGUCAAGUAGAGCAUAAAAUCUACUAUCUUCUAUGAUUUAAAAAGUUUUUCAUCAACUUUAUCGCUGAGACUCAGCUUAAUAAAUAAAAUUGAAUCAUCCCUGCACCACGACCAAGGAUAUUCAUGUAAUCAUCAAUUGUCAUGAUUAUACCGAAUAAUUCCUAGUCAUAAUCAUACCAACAACUGUACAUCAAUGAACUACAGGCCAAUGAGAACUUUUACCACAUCAUUCGUUACAUUACGGUCAUGAAUAUACCGAAUAAUCCCUGGUCAUAAUCAUACCAUGUCCAUCUAUGCACGUAAGCUAAAGAUGACUUUCAUCACAAUAUAAGCAUGAAAUGUUGACCAUGACAUAGCAAUUCAAUAAAAUAAGUUCAAGGAUAAAUUUUAAAGAUUUAUAAUUUAAUUUAUCAAGAAUUCAAUAACGUUCAAAUUGUCAACAGGAUACUACUUUGUGGAGUAAAAUUCAAGAAUGCUUAGAAGAAUAUUUACAUGAAAAGACACUGGAUGUAGCGCAAAUAUCAAGGAUAUUCUACUAAUUUCAUGGAGUAUAGAAGCCAAAACUUUAACCAAAUGAGUAUAAUAGAAUAUAUGAAACUGCAAAUGGAUUUUCACCCGCUAUGCGGUAAUCCACGUAGACAGAUCAUUUCCACAAUUUAAUAAGGAAUGAAUACGAAAGGUCAUUCACCAUGCAUUCAGUAGUUCGCGUAGACAGGUUAUUCCAACAGAAUAAUAAAGAAUGGAAUAACAGAAGAAUUCACCAUGCAUGUGGUAGUCCGCGUAGACAGGUUAUUCCAACAGAAUAAUAAAGAAUAGAAUAACAAAAGAAUUCACCAGGCACGCGGUAGUCCGCGUAGACAGGUUAUUCCAACAGAAUAAUAAAGAAUGGAAUAACAGAAGAAUUCACCAUGCAUGCGGUAGUCCGCGUAGACAGGUUAUUCCAACAGAAUAAUAAAGAAUGGAUUAACAGAAGAAUUCACCAUGCAUGUGGUAGUCUGCGUAGACAGGUUAUUUCAACAGAAUAAUAAAGAAUGGAAUAACAGAAGAAUUCACAAUGCAUGUGGUAGUCCGCGUAGACAAGUUAUUCCAACAUAAUAAUAAAGAAUGGAAUAACAACCCUUACCAGUAUUGAAAGAAAAUAACUCUCUUCAUGAAUAUGAAAGAAAUAAUACCCCUUACCUUAGAAGAAAAUUGGAUACUGGAAUAGUGAGGUAGCAGACUUAUCUUCUUAUUUCUCUCUAUAAUUUCUCUCUAUAAUAAUUGCUCUUGUGAGACUUAGUGAAUUGGUGAGAAUGAAAGAAGAAUGAGCUUCUAUUUAUAGGAAAAUAUAGUUUUGAUAAUUGCACGUUUUGGGGCUCAAAAUAUUACAGUAUAAUACUUUCCUCUUUUUCUUUAUUUUUAAUUUAGUCCUGCAAGUAUUAUCAAACUUGCACCACCUCCCCUAAUUGUAAAUCAUGUGAAUUAAUAGUCCAUUCAUGUGACUCAAUAGUAUAAUCAUGUAAAAAAACUAAUUACAGUAUGGUACCUUCAUCUAUACCUCCAUUUUUAAUUUAGUCAUGCAAGUAUUAUCAAUCUUGUACCAACUCCCCUAAUAGUAAAUCAUGUGAAUCGAUAGUUCAUUCAUGUGACUCAAUAGUAUAAUCAUGUGAAAAAACUAAUUACAGUAUAGUACCUUCAUCUAUACCUCUAUUUUUAAUUUAGUCAUGCAAGAAUUAUCAAUCUUGCACUAACCCCCCUAAAAUAAAAUAAUAAUUAUAAGAAAAUUGAUUACUUUCAUUUCAUAAAAAUUUGGGGUUUUACAAUCUCCCCUCCUUAUGAAAUUUUGCCCUCAAAAUUUACUUACGUACUUGGUAUACCGAAGAAGUGAGGAUACCUUGACUUCAUUUCAGAUUCUAACUCUUGAGGUAUAACCUUUGAGUGUCGAAUAUAAUCCUUCUUAUCCAAGAUUUUAACACGUAUCUCUUCAUACGUUAAAUCUUAUGCUAUCUCGUCUAGUUCUAAUUCAAUAAUGUGGUUCGGGUCAUCCACAUAUUUACGUAACAUCGAUACAUGAAAAAUGUUAUGAACAUGCGACAUACUUAGCGGUAAGACGAGUUUAUAGGCCACAGUUCCUACUCGAUCGAGGAUUUCAAAUGGGCCAAUUAAAUCGAGGGUUGAGAUAACGCCUUCUUGAACCUUCUUCUUCGUAUUUAUUAAACCCGGGUGUGUAGCUUGAGUGGCUUUUAACUUUAUCGAUUAAAGUCGAUUCUACUCAUAUAUUCGUUAUCUUCACGUGGGUGCCUAGAGUCUUUAACUCUAUCUUCAUCAUUUGUAAGUUAUACAUAAUGGGUUUUUGUGUUAACAACAUCGCACUCGUAACCGCAUACGAUCUUCUACUCAACGCAUCAGCUACCACAUUCGCUCUUCCACGAUGAUAUUGAAUGGUAUGGUUGUAAUCUUCAACAGCUCGAGCCAACGUCUUUGGCGCAUUAUACGUUUGUUUUGGUUGAAGAAAUAUUUAAGGGUUUUAGAAAUGGGUUUUGUACUGGGGUCAAUACAAAUUCAAUUUCACGCUCUGGGGUAGGCCAGGAAGUUCUUUGAGAAUACGUCAGGAAAUUUAUUAAUGAUAGAAAUAUCAUUUAAAAACUGUGACUCUCAUCCAAGACUUGGAUAUCACAUAAAAUGAAGGUUUCUACUAACGAAGUUUCAACCAAUAAGUUAAAGUCUAACUUUUCUGGGGUCAAAUUUAAACGUUGAGCGCAAGCAAGAGAGAUAAAAGAAUGGGUAGAACCGGUAUCUAAUAAGGUAUAGACUUUGCAAAAAUUUAUAAUUAACUAACCCGUGCUAACUUCGUUUGGGUUACUCGCUUUUUGAGAAGUCACGAAAAACGCUCUUCCUGAAACCAUCGACUUUCUUUUGUCCAUAUCCGCCUUUGGUGCCACCGUCCCAGCUGGACUUGACUUUGGUGCACGAUAAAAUUGGGCUAGGUGACCUUCUUUUCCACAAUUGUAACAUGCUUUGGACUACAUCAUGCAGUUUGGACUGAUAUGUCCCUCCCCUUCGCAUUUGAAACAUACAAUUGGUGGUCGUUCUGCUUCCUUGAAAAUGGGUGUUGGUGCUGCUGUCUUUCCAUCGUUGUUGAACCUUCUCUUUUUGAAAUUUCCAUUUCUAUUAUCUUGACCAUGAUUACCACCAAAGUGGUUACCAUUCCUGGCAUGAUAAUUUCCCCCACGAUGGUUAUCAUUGUUCUGAUGGUCGUUGCCACCGGUACGAUUAUUAUCGCGUUAUUGCUCGUUAUCCUUUGGUUGGGCUGGCUCAUUAUCGCGCUCCAAUAACUGAGCCCUAUUCACUACAUCUGAAUACAAACAUAAUUUGUGAGAAAUGAGGUAUUGACGUAUUUCGGGUUUCAAAUCUCUUAGAAAUAUUUGCAUCAUUCGCUCCUCAUUAUCGACCAAAUGGGAUGCAAACCGAGACAACUCGGCAAACUUAGCCUCGUAUUGCGACACGAUAAUAUUGUUUUGGUCCAACUUGAUAAACUCCACCUCCUUUAUGUGACGAAUACUUUCGGGAAAGUACUUGUCGUUGAACAGUUCUUGGAACUUCUCCCAAGACAUCUUAAGUGCGUCAGGCUGGGUACGUUUUACAGAUUCCCAUCAGUAAUCUGCCUCUUCACGCAACAUAAAGUUGGCAAAGGGAACCUUUUGCUCCUCGGUGCAUUCCAAGACAUCAAAUAUCUUGGUGAUCUGCUUUAACCACGUUUCUGCCUUAAGUGGUUCUGGCUUUCCCAAAAACUCCAGCGGUCCUAGCUCCUUGAACUGCUUAGCGGUGACCAUCCGAGAGUUGCCAGUGUUUCCAACUGCAUUUUAAACAGGAGCCGUUCUCGCCUGAUGUUGCAUGAAUUACAUAAAGCCUCUGAACAUCCCAUCGUUCAUCAUUUCAUCGGUGUUAUUGUUUACCUGAGGAUUAUUGUCUUCCUGUUGCACAUUAUCUUGGGUAUUGAUCGUCGGUGACUCAACGGUCUCAUGUGCUUCAUUGCUGAUCUCAACAUUUUCAGAUGCCAGUCUCCAACACUUUCACAAAACAAGGAUUAAUUGACAUGCCACAUAUUAUCCCUAUACUCUGACCGACAAAUUAAAUACCAAAUAAACUUAGGUAGGUCAUACUAGCGAAGGAAUUCCCCGUAUCUCCCCUCCUAGUUCUUGUCUCACAUCUCAGCCAGGGAUCAUAUCCCUAAGCUUUGAUACCAACUGUGAUGCCCCCAAAAUAGGUAUACAUUACCCAUCUUGAGUCGCCAGAUACAUGGUACAGAAUAGAAAUAAGAACUUAAUUAAACAACUGUCGUAUAAAAUACGACAAAACAUACUCUAAGAGUCUUAACAGGAAUAUUUCCUUCUAGACAAUAUUCAAACUCAAUGGAGUCCUCAUUACAAUUAUUAUCACACUAUUUUACAGAAUAGUGAGGACUACUAAAGCCACUUAUCAUGGACCGUCACUCCAUUCCCCGACUCGUCCCAGCUAUAUUCUCAUUUCCUGAAGAGAACAAUGAAAGAAAAGGGUGAGCUCAACUAGCCCAGUAAGAAAUAUUAUGACUAAGAUAAUGCAGAAUAAAUUAUCCUUAGCCUUCAACAGUAUAACAACUGAUAAAAUAUAAUAUACAACAAGUUAUAGAUCAACAAUUGCAGUGGAAUAAGCAAUCCAUUAGAAGAGACAAGUAGAACAUGAUAUCUACUAUUUUCUAUGAUUUAAAAAGUUUUUCAUCAACUUUAUCACUGAGACUCAGCUUAAUAAAUUAAAUUGAAUCAUCCCUGCACCAUGGCCAAGGAUAUUCAUGUAAUCAUCAAUGGUCAUGAUUAUACCGAAUAAUCCCUGGUCAUAAUCAUACCAACAACUGUCCAUCAAUGAACUACAGGCCAAUAAGGACUUUUACCACAUCAUUCGUUACAUUACGGUCAUGAUUAUACCGAAUAAUCCCUNNNNNNNNNNNNNNNNNNNNNNNNNNNNNNNNNNNNNNNNNNNNNNNNNNNNNNNNNNNNNNNNNNNNNNNNNNNNNNNNNNNNNNNNNNNNNNNNNNNNNNNNNNNNNNNNNNNNNNNNNNNNNNNNNNNNNNNNNNNNNNNNNNNNNNNNNNNNNNNNNNNNNNNNNNNNNNNNNNNNNNNNNNNNNNNNNNNNNNNNNNNNNNNNNNNNNNNNNNNNNNNNNNNNNNNNNNNNNNNNNNNNNNNNNNNNNNNNNNNNNNNNNNNNNNNNNNNNNNNNNNNNNNNNNNNNNNNNNNNNNNNNNNNNNNNNNNNNNNNNNNNNNNNNNNNNNNNNNNNNNNNNNNNNNNNNNNNNNNNNNNNNNNNNNNNNNNNNNNNNNNNNNNNNNNNNNNNNNNNNNNNNNNNNNNNNNNNNNNNNNNNNNNNNNNNNNNNNNNNNNNNNNNNNNNNNNNNNNNNNNNNNNNNNNNNNNNNNNNNNNNNNNNNNNNNNNNNNNNNNNNNNNNNNNNNNNNNNNNNNNNNNNNNNNNNNNNNNNNNNNNNNNNNNNNNNNNNNNNNNNNNNNNNNNNNNNNNNNNNNNNNNNNNNNNNNNNNNNNNNNNNNNNNNNNNNNNNNNNNNNNNNNUGGAUACUGGAAUAGUGAGGUAGCAGACUUCUCUUCUUCUUUCUCUUUAUAAUUUUUCUCUAUAAUAAUUGCUCUUGUGAGACUUAGUGAAUUGGUGAGAAUGUAAGAAGAAUGAACUUCUAUUUAUAGGAAAAUAUAGUUUUGAUAAUUGCACGUUUUGGGGCUCGAAAUAUUACAAUAUAAUGCUUUCCUCUUUUUCUUCAUUUUUAAUUUAGUCCUGCAAGUAUUAUCAAACUUGCACCACCUCCCCUAAUAGUAAAUCAUAUGAAUUAAUAGUUCAUUCAUGUGACUCAAUAGUAUAAUCAUGUGAAAAAACUAAUUACAGUAUAGUACCUUUAUCUAUACCUCCAUUUUUAAUUUAGUCAUUCAAGUAUUAUCAAUCUUGUACCAACUCCCCUAAUAGUAAAUCAUGUGAAUCAAUAGUUCAUUCAUUUGACUCAAUAGUAUAAUCAUGUGAAAAAACUAAUUACAUUAUAGUACCUUCAUCUAUACCUCUAUUUUUAAUUUAGUCAUACAAGUAUUAUCAAUCUUGCACCAACUCCCCUAAUAGUAAAUCAUGUGAAUCAAUAGUACACACAUGUGAACACAUAGUUAUAAGCAUGUGAAUUAAUAGCAAUUAAUUGCUCAUGUAUCUGGUGAAUUACCCGAUUUGUCAAUAUAACCUCCAGACAUCAAUUAUUAUCGAAAUAAAUGUCAAUUUCCACUAACACUAAUAAUUCUCACAUAAUGGAACUAUCAAUUUCAUCGUUAAUCAACACGAACUUAUUCAUCAUUAAUAUUAUAACGCACAAUAUUUAACAACCAGGUCGUUCCCAAGAAAGAGGGGGUUUUCCGAUAAGGAUUUCUCCCUAUUGGCGCGCAAUUAGAUUAUCUAACCUCUCCUUGAUAGAACUUUUAGACAUUCUCAAUAUUGCUAAUAAUAAUAUGAAUAACUUUGUCGUCUCAAUUAUUGAUUUAAUAAUAUAACAUAUUAUGCAGAUGAUACUGUGACAAUAAUUGAAUGAAUAAUAUGAGAGAUAUGAUGUAACAAUUACUGUAGCAAUAAUUGAGUAUAACUGAGUGACUUCUUACGUAAGCAUCAAUAAUCAAUACCGCGUGCUACUAUGCAACCACGCGUAUUACUGUACUUUUACUACCGGGUAGUUCAACAGUUUAACGGUAAAACUUUCGUCGUUAUUUUUAUAAAAAGAUAAUUAUUUCGUUUUCUUACUACGACAAUACUUCUGUUGUGGGGUCCAGCAAUGAUUGUGCCGUCGUACGGAUAUUCCCCGAUAAAAAGAAUAUUUUAUAACAACUUGCAUACUUUGCAAAAUUUUUACAUAUCACCCUUAACUUUAACCUUUUAUCAAUUUAACCAUUUACAAAAUAAAAUAAUAAUUAUAAGAAAAUUGAUUACUCUCAUUUCAUAAAAAUUCGGGGUCUUACAUAUGCAAAUAAUGGUUAUUUGGAAUUUGUUUAGCUAAAUUCUAUUUGCAUUUUGUUCAUGAUGGGUAUGUUACUUGUUAUGUUGGAAAUAUGUAUGAUCAAGUUAUUUAUUUCUCCUUAAUAUGCAUAAUCUUAGAAGGAGUCUUACAUUUAGGGGGAGCAUUAUAUUGUCAUAAAAAAAAAUGGGAGAAUUUUAAUUUUUAUGCCUAUUGUUUUAAUGAUGAUAAUAAAUUUUGUAUAGAAUUGAUUUAUUUUAAAUUGAAUUAAGAAUUGGGUUGAAUAUAAUUAUAUAUUAUCAUCAUCAAAAAAGGGGAGAAUGUUGGUUUAUAUGUUUAUGUUUUAAUGAUGAUAAUAUGUUUUGUAUGGACUUAAUUGUUAGGUUUGUAAUAUCCAUUACCAUGUAACAAAAUACAUACACAGAGCAGAAGCGUGACAAAUCUGAGUUUUAAAAUUAUACAAAUCAUAUACCCGGAUCGUCUUUUAUGCACAAUUAUUAAUUUAAUGAAAAGAGAUGGAGAUCAGAUUUAUACCCUUGUAGAAAAUAGCUUCCUAAGGUACGAGUUCACCUCCAAUUUCUUUUCACGUUUAACUUGAAUCCACUAGGUUUGAUUCAUUCAUUUGAUCAACGUUAGCCACCCAAAUGUUUGGCCUCUAGAGGUGAUCCACCAAGGAAGAACAAGUAUUCAAGAAGAUGGGUGUUUGGCAAAAUCCUAAUUCUAUCUCUAUUGAAUAUUGUGUACUCUCCCAACUCUUGGAAUGAAGUGUGUAACCUUAAUCCAUAAUAAGACUCCUUUUAUUUUUAGAUGUAGGGAACCCUCCUAAACUAUUUAGAAAUAGGAUUUUACUUUAAUUAUUUAAACUCUUUUAAUUAAUUAGGCUUCCUAAUCUUAUUAAGAAUAAUUAAUUUAACUCUUUUAAUUAAUUAGCCUCCUAAUCUUAUUAGGAAUAUAUGCGAGUACCUUUUAUUAAUUAAUUCUCAAACUCCUUUAGGAAUAAUAAUAAUAAUAAUAAUAAUAAUAAUAAUAAUAAUAAUAAUAAUAAUAAUAAUAAGACUCCUCUUAUUAAUUUAUAUUUAAUAUUUUCAAAAUAUUAAAUAAUAAAUAUUAAGCUAUUUAAUGUAUUCUAUCACCAUAGAUUAAAUCAAAUACACUUAACUUAUUAUUACGAUUCCAUUUGUUUCUUAAAUAAAUAUUUUUCAUUUUAUGGUGCGACCCUUUAGGUUCUCCAUAUUAAAUCGGUUGUGAAUAAAUCAAUUAGAACAAUUCUAAUCUUAUUUAAAUAAAUAAAUCAAUUAUUUAAUUCAUUUAAAUAAAUAACAUUUACUCUACAAUAAGGAUAAUUAAGCCUACCUAACACUCAACGACUUUCCAGAUAAUAUAGAUUUCAACAUUAAUUAUAAAAGAACUCUUGAGUAAAUAGUUACCGUACAAUUCAAUCCUUCCACCAUACACUGUCCCAAUUAAAUAUAAAACAUGGAAUUUAUGAUAACCCAAAAAUUUAGAAAAUCUUGAAUGAUAAAAUAAAUGUUUAAAAAUAAAACCUAGAUUGGAAAAAAGGAUAAUUAAAAAAUUUUAAAGAACCUAUACGGUUUAAUUUGAAUUUUUAAGCAAUGUAAAGAAAUCAAAUGAGAAUGAUAGAAAUUUUGAAAAGUAAGAAAGGGAUUAUGUAUGUGGAAUUUGUUUUUAAGGAAAUUAAUUUCAAAUGAAGAUAGUAUAAGGUUAAAUAGAGAAUGUGUAUAUGUAUAGAUACAUAUAUUCUUAAGAAUGAGCUAAUUAUAUUUUAGCCAAAUAAGAGGAAUGAUUAAUUAAAAUUAAUUAUACAAGUAUGAAUGAAAAGCUUAAUUAUAAAAACUUGUGAAAAAUUAUGCCUUAAAUGAUAAUUUAUUAGAACCCAAAAAUAUUAAAUUGGUAGAAGUCAAGUAUGGUGGGCCCCACUAGCGUGUGAUAAUUGGUGAUGAUUGUUAGGAAAUUUCCUAGAAGUGGGGAAAUGACUAUUUUGUCCUUAAUGAAAAUUGAUUAUGACCAAUAUGUCAUAUGAGAAAAUUUCUAGGAAAUUUCCUUGAGAUGACUUAAAGACCAUCUUGACCUUCCCUAGUAAUGGUUAAAGACCAUUUUGUCCUUGAUCUUGAAUUCUUACAAAAUUAGAAAACCUUAGGGGUGAAAACCUAAUAUUUGAAACUUAAGAAAUUAUCUUAAGGAAUAUGCUAAGGAAUAAUGAAUAUUCUGAGAAUAUGCUAAGAAUAUGCCAGGGGGUGAUUUACAAGCUUUUAAAGAUGAGGGGGAAGACUGGAGAAGAAUUAAGUUGGAUGACCAACUUAUAAGAAAUUGAAAGUAGCUUUUAUAUAAGCUAAUUUCUUUUCUCUUUCAUUCAUUUCUCCAAACUAGUAAAGUAAACUAGAGAGAAAAAGCAAGAAAGAGAGGAAGAACAAGAGAGAGAAAGAUAGAAAAGCUAGAAAAACUAGAAAAAGAGAGAGAGGGGCAGCCAUGGAAGUAGGAGAAGAAGAGAAGAAUAAAGAAAAAGAAAAGAAAAGGAAGAUCAAGGCAUAACUCUAACUAGUUUAUGUAAAUUAUUUUGGUUAUUUUAAAUCAAAUAUUGAGUUUAUGUUUUAUAAACUUAAAAACCUUAUAUAUACAUGUUAAUAAGUGUGUUAUGUGUAGAUCUAUCACUUUUGAGUAUCAAAAGUUGGAUCUAAAACAAGACUAUUUUUGGAUCUACCAUGUGAGCUGUUUUUAGCCAAACUAUCCAGAUUUUACAAAAAUAGAAAAAAGACUGUUUUUGGGUAGUUUAUAGCAGGGGCAAUUUCUUCCUAUUUUUUUGCUCUAAAAAUUCUAGAAAAAUUUGAGAUGAUAAUAUGAUAAGUUAGCUGUUUUCAGUAAAACAAUGGUAAUUUUUGGAUGUGUAGAAUGAAAGUUAUGGAUUUUACGAGGAAGUGUGAUUUUAAAAGUAAACAUUAAUAACUCUUAGUGUGUAACUCAAAAAAAAAAUUGUUAAAUUUUUACAAGAAGUACAUAUACAUAACCAGAACAUCUCAUGAAAGUUUCAGAAUUUUUGGACAAAAACUUAGUUCAUGAAAAUUGUUGCAAGAUUCGACUUGUUUGGCAAUUUUAAGCAUAAUAAAAAAAACUAAAAAAUUCUAGAAAAAUUAUAUGUUUAUAAGGGUAAUAUUAACUAAUGUUUACCAGAAAGAUAGAAUUUUCGAAACUGUUUUCAUAUUUUUCAUGUGAAUGAUUAAGUUAUGAAUAAAUGGAUAAAAUAAGUUAAGUGAUGUUAUAAAGGUUAAAAAUGUAAUAGUUUUGACAAAAGACCCUAAAGAUGAUAUAAUCAGAUUUAUGGAGGCUAGUUUGGUCAUUUUUGAUGAGAUGUUAUAUAUAUGACAUUUUAGGAUUGUUAAAUAAUGUAAUUAGUAAUGGAUAAACAAUUAAAAUAAAUUAUUUAUAAGUUUAAUAAAUUAUUAAAAUAUUAUUAAAUAAUUAAUAAUAUUGGAUUAACAUGUUAUUAAUAAAUGUUAGAUUAAAAUAUUAUUAAAUAAUUAAUAAUAUUAGAUAAUGAUUUACAAUAUUAUUAAAUGAUUAAUGAUAUUAGAUUAAAGUUAAAUUAAAAUAUUAUUAAGUGAUUAAUAAUAUUAGAUGGUGAUUAAAAUAUUAUUAAGUGAUUAAUAAUAUUAGAUGAUGAUUAAAAUAUUAUUAAAUGAUCAAUAAUAUUAGAUGAUUCAAAUAUUAUUAAAAAAAGAAUUAAUAAUAUUUGUAAAUGAUUAAGAUUAUUAUUAAAGGGUUAAUAAUAAUUGUAAGUGAAUAAAAUAUUAUUAAAUGAUUAAUAAUAUUAGUAAGUGAUUAAAAUAUUAUUAAAUGAUUAAAAUAUUAUUAAAAUGUUAAUAAUAUUUGUAAAUGAUUAAGAUAUUAUGAAGUGAUUAUUCAGAAGUGAAUGACAUACUAUUAAGUAAUUAAUAAUAUUAGACAUAAGUUUUAAGAUGAUGAUUGAGUGAUGGUAAUGAUAAUGAGAUAAUGAAUUAUUGAUUAUAUGGCUAAAUGUUAGCUAAAUUAUUAAUGAAGUAAUAAUAUUAUGAGGAAUGAUAUGCUAUACUGAUUGAAAGAUCAAUCUUAUAAAUGAUAGGUCUUUCAUAAGAGAUUGAAUUUUUCUACUUAGCGGUAAUCGACGGUUAAGGCAAGUUCCCUAACUCAAACUUGAGUUGUAUUUUUAAAACAUGUUAGUGAAUAAUUAUUGUUGAUUAUUCACAUCUAUACUGAUUAUUGAUUCGCACUUAGUGCAUGUUGUAUAUGUUCAUCAGGUAUGAAAGGCUGAUCACCUUCAUUACCAUAUGGUUUAGUUAAAUUUAUUCAUUGUGACGCCCCCAAAAUAGGUAUGUCUAAGUCACCAAAUACAUGGCACAGAAACAACUACAAAUUUAUUAAUACAAUUAUCGUGCAAAAUGCGACAACACAUAAACUGUGAGUUUAAAUACAAAUAUUGUCUUCUAGACAAUAUUCACACUCAGAAAAAAGUCCUCAUUACAAUUAUUGAUGCACUAUUUUACAUAAUAGCGAGGACUACUAAAACAACUAUCUUGAACCAUCACUCUAUACCCCGGAUAGUUCCUGCUAAAUUCUCACUUCCUGAGAAGAAAAAUGGAACAAAAAGGAAAAUGGUGAGCUCAACUAGCCCAGUAAAGAAUAUUAUGACUAAGAUAAUGAACAAAAAAUUAUCGUUUGCCUUCAACAAAUCAGAUAAAAUAUAAUGGACAACAAGUUUUAGAUCAAUAUUCACAGCAAAAAAAACAAUUCAUUAGAAGAGUUUAGUAGAGAAAGAAAUCUACUAUCAUCUAUGAAUUUAAAAGUUCAUCAUCAAUAUUUUAUCCCUGUAACAUCAAUCAAUAUACAUCUUGAAUCAAAUAUUCAUCUUUGCACUACGGGCCAAAGAUAUUCAUUUGUAUCACCGGUUGGUCAUGUUCAUCUCAACACCUGUCCAUCUUUGAAUUACGGGCCAAAGAUAUUCAUCAAGUAAUCAAUCAUCUUUGCACUACAGGCCAAAGAUAUUCAUCAAGUAUCACCAUUGAGGAUUGAGGAUGAUGAAAAAUAUUUUAAAGAACGAAUCCAGUGAGAUAAAAGGACAAAGAUUAGAGAUUCGUACUUUAGAUAAUCCAAAUUUAAAAAUACUCCAUAAUAAACCAUAGUGGAGUAACAUUAAAGAAUGGAGAUCAAAACAUGGAUACAAUCAAAGAUAGUAACCAUAAUAGACAUCUGAGACAAAGAAGAGAAAAUUUCAUUUUUUGGUGAAUAGUGUCGUAUACAUGAAUAGUGCCAUAUACGUGAAUAGUAUGAAAGUAGUAUGCACACAAUCUAAUCAUGUUUGAUGAUAAAGCAUAUACUUUGUAACAAUCUUAUUCAUUUAUUAAUAAAAAGUAUUAAUUUAUUAAAGGCUUUUAAUUAUCUACACGAUGCUGUUUUAUAAUAUGUGAUAAACCCAUAGUUUUAAGCAAUGCUUUUAGAAUAAUGAUGAUGAUCAUUCUAAUGAGAUCUAAAUUCUUAGAAAGCUUAAAACUAAAAUAGUUCCCAAUCGUUGGAUUACUAAAUUGGGGAUUAGUGAAUCCGGAUAGAUUGGUACAUACGUUGCUUGCUCAUUGGAUGAGGAUGAUUGAUCUCAUGAUCAUUUGUGUGGAGACACUAAAGCAAGUAUGUAGGUGCUUAUUAGAGAAUAAGUUCACUGAACGUGGCUCGCUAAGGAAUACCUAAUGGAGUUUUACUUGCCUGUCAAUAGGAAUUCCUGUAGUGAUAGUAGUACAAGUGAUCCUUGGACUUGAGAUCAUCAUAGUAUCUUGUGUAUGAUGAGUUAUACUUUGACUUAUUCCUUAAGACCCUUAGGGUAUAUCAAAGGGUAUGCUUGGGUAUAAUAAGUUGUACAUGGAGAUAAUGUAUGAUCAAUAAAGAAUCUACCACUUCUAGUAAAAGAAGAGAAAUGUCCUAUGUGAUUCGAUAAAUGACAACCCAGUAGUCCUUGGCCAAGGCAGAAUGAAAUUAGAAAGGAGUUUCUAAUUUGCAUUAUUUGGAGUUGUGCAUUUAAGAGUCGAAAUACAUAUAAUUAAAUAAAAUAAGACUUGACAGUAAUUCCAUGUCUUAUAUUUAAUUGGGACAUUGUAUGGUGGAAGGAUUGAAUUGUACGGUAACUAUUUACUCAAAGGUUCUUUUAUGAUUAAUGUUGAAAUCUAUAUUAUCUGGAAAGUCGUUGAUCGCUAGGGAGGCUUAUCCCUAUUGUAGAAUAAAUAUUAUUUAUUUAAAUAAAUUAAUAGUUUAAUUUAUUUAUUUAAAUAAGAUUAGAAUUGUUCUAAUUGAUUUAUUCACAACCGGUUUAAUAUGGAGAACCUAAAGGGUCACACCAUAAAAGGAAGAAUAAUUAUUUAAGAAGUUAAUGGCAUAAUCGUAAUAAUAAGUUAAGUAUAUUUAAUUUAAUCUAUGGUGAUAGAAUAAAUUAAAUAGCUUAAUAUUUAUUAUUUAAUAUUUUGGAAAUAUUAAAUAUAAAUUAAUAAGAGGAGUCUUAUUAUUAUUAUUACUAUUAUUAUUAUUUAAUUCCUAAAGGAGUUUGGAAAUUAAUUAAUAAAAGUACUCUCAAAUAUCCUAAUAGGAUUAGGAGGCAAAUUAAUUAAAAGAGUUUAAUUAAUUAUCUCUAAUAAGAAUAGGGAGCUUAAUUAAUUAAAAGAAUUUAAUUA